CACGAGGAAGUCGAGCAAAUCAGGGCAAGACAGAGACAAACGGCUGAAAUGUCCAGGGCACGACUGGAGAGAGGUGAACCAUCCUUAUUGGAUGAUACCUCUUCCGAUUCCUCUUCUGAGAUAUAAUCGUAAUGAAGCUUAGGAUUGGAGCAUGCGAUGGCUGCAGCUGUUGGAUUGCCUUUUCUGUUCAUUCACUACAAGAAAACAUGGCUUAGGUGUCGACAUACAUUCGUCACGUAAACAUGAAAAUUCGUCACAUUUGAUUAUAUGUGAUGAAAAUCCAGCGUCACUAUGUUCGUCACCUAUACAGCGUCACCUAUAGUUCAUGUGACGAAUUUUACAUUCGCCACAUAUUUUUAGUAUUUUUUAUGCCAAAUUCGUCACUUAAUAAUUUUAACUGUGACGAAAUAAGCGUCACAAAACAUAAAAGUUAGUGACCUAUAAGUUCGUCACAUAACAAAUGUAUAAGUGAGGAAUUUAUUGUCACCCAAUUUGAUCCUAGAAUGCUAUGGCUAAGAAUAAGUGAGACUGAAAGUGUCACAUAUUCCUUUGACAUGUGGCGCAAUUUGUGUCACAUGUGUCAAAAUCAUAAACCUGUUAAAAACAAUUCGUGACGAACCAAUUACCACACAUUCCCUGCUUCGUCAUCUAGAAUUAGAAUUCAUAACAAAUAUGAGGCAAUACUUUAGUUAAUCACAUUUUAUUGAUCAAUAAGUUAGAUUACAUCCAAUACAUACACCAAUUGUGUAUCUUAAAAGCUAACAUAAGCAUCCUAACACCUCUAAACAUAUUGAGAUGCUAACAAGAUUCUAAGGCAUUAAGUCGGUAACAAAACAGGUAUACCGUGUGCAUAUUUGAAACCAACAACAAAAUACAUAAUAUAAGUUAUCCGCCAUGUCAUGGUCUUUAGUUCAGCACAUGUAUCAUUGUCAUUUGAAAGAUCACCAUCACUACCUCAAGUGCUUCUUGAAUACUUUCUCCUUUAACUCCAUCCUUAUUUUUCUUCAUCUUAUCCUUACAUAAUAAAAGAGAAGAAAAUAAACAUUGGUGUCUAGAGAAUAGCAGGUGCAUUGAGAAUUUGAAUAACAAAAGAGAUGAAAAUAAGAAUUGAAGGAAUAGAAGAACAAAACAUAACAGACGAGCCUAUCUAAAUUACACAAUGAGUUUUAUAUGUACUUUAAUUUCAUUACCUUACGAGCCUUCCUUGCAUGUUGGAUGAAAUGGUUUUGCCCCUCCCUUGUGGUAAUACUUUUGUUUCUUACAAUUAUAUGAAUUUUGCUUGAAAACAUCCUACAUUAAAAGGCCAUUAAUUAACAAGAAAAACAUAUCUAGUUUCAUACCAUAGACUACUUAUUCACUGUAAUUUUAAAACAUUCAGCUUUUAUAACGAUCAAAUUGAUAUCACUACUAAUGAAGGCUAAAUUGAUGUCACUACCUCUGGAGAUGUUGUUGGUCCGCCCUUGGCUUGCAAUCCUUUAGUUGUGCUAUCAUAUCUUCAUUUUUCUUUUGCAUAUCUGAUUUCACUAAUUUAUCAUAACCUAGUUAGUGAGUUAUCAAGACUCCAAAUGUCAGGACUAGAUAAUCUACUAGCAAAAGAUAAAAUUCACAAAAAGCUACUUAAAUUAUAAUUAAACUUCUAAACCAAUCUGCGAUUGCAAGAAUAUGAAGAUCUGCCAAAAUUUAAUAAAAACCCAACUCCAACACCAUUCCUAAAAAACAAUAAGACCAAAAUCUAACUUAGUAUAGAAAAAAAAAGGUGAAUAACAUAUUAGUUUUCCCAAUUCAAUUUCCUUCAAAAGGUGAGCUCUGGAAGUUGUGGCUAUCACUUAAAUUACCAAGUAUGUUGAUAAAGUGAGAUUAAGAUUAAAAUACUGAAAGCAGAACAACCCAAAACUUGCAGAGUAUAAAACCUAUACCGACAACAUCUUGGUUAAAAAACACAAGCAAGAGAACUACCCUUGUCAAAAACCAUGACCAACCUGUAAACAACACAAUCACAACAAGUCAUCUAGCAAUCAAUCUUCCUUAAAUUACGAGAUUAGACUUAUUAGAGAAUCCCAUGGAAAGAGGAAACAUAAAAUCUGGCAACAUCAGUCACCCCAUAUCGUCUAAUAUCCAUAUGCAGCAUCAGUAUGUAGCAUCAAUCACUCCAUAUCGUCUAAUAUCCAUAUGAUGCAUCAGUAUGCAGCAUCAGUCAUAUGCAACAUCAGUCACCCCAUAUCGUCUAAUAAGAACUAAGCAGCUGAAAAUAUAUAUAGGAGAAAUAUAUGUGUUUCUUAAAUCCUUCUUUAUAUAGUUUUUCAUGGUUUUCUAGGACUACAAAUAAUAACACCAAUAAACAGAAAAGACAUUGCCACUAAUAAUCAGAAGAAAGAAAAUCAUCUAUGAUGGGGGAAAUCAUUUUGCUUGCCCAAGAGACCAUUUUCAAUCUUUUUCAAAUGCAGAACACUUAAAAGAAUUAUGGUUCAAAUUUCAGAGCAAUUCAAAGCCAAAUCAAACAACUUUCCUUUUCAAUAAAUGGUAUCAUCAACUCAAAAUUUGUUACCUUCAAUCACCAUGUAAAACCAAUAAGCCCAGAAAAAAAUACCAACUUGUAAGUUCAUAACAAACAAAAAAUUGAAAUAGAAGGACCAAAUAAAACAACUUAUUAAAGCCUCCAUAUGUGCAAAUAAAUCAUUUGAAUAAUCCCCAACGAUUAUCCAGAAUAAAAGAAGAAAUUCUUACAAGUUCUUUGCUAAAGUUAUUGAUUAAUGUUCCUUCCUUUAGUUUUUUUGUUUGUAAAUUUGUGAAUGUAAACCUGCAAGUUCCAAAAACAAAUAGAAAAAGCCAGGGAUAUAUAUAUAUAUAUAUAUAUAAAUCUAAAAAUUAAAAUCCAAAUUUUACCCAAUUAGAGUCCUUGAAAGAUGGAUGAAGAGGUCGAGGGCUGUUAGCGUGCUCAAUUUGGAGGCAAUUACCUGCAGAUCCAAAACCCUAAGUUAAAAACAAUGAUAAAAAUUAAAUUCGUUAACCAUUUGGCCACAUAGUAGUCUCGUAGGCAUUGAGAAAUUUGGCAUAGAUUUAUGUAGUUGGUGGAAAGGGUUUCUAUGGUUCUUGGGUUUUCGGUGGUGGCGUAAGAAACUGGAAGAAGGUUGAGACGUAACAGGGUGUGGAUUUGGCUUGUUGGUUGAAUUGGUCUCUAGGGUUUUUGGUUGUGGAGUGUGAUAGACAAUGAAUAGAUGAGAGAUGGUUUGAGCAUUUGGCUUAGAAGAUCCUGGUAAUGUCACGAUAGAGAGAAAAGAAGAUUAAGAGACGCGUCGGUUAGCUUGGGUCACAGUGAUGAGAAAUGGGAGAAAUCUGAAAGACAGAGAAAGUGAAAGUGAAAGAUAGAUGGGCUUUCUCAAAUUUUUUUAAUACUUUACUAUGUUUCUUUUUUCUUUUUUUUUUAAUUUAUUUAUUGUUGGAAAAGUGAUGAAUCACUUUUGUCACCGAGAAUACACAUAUGUGACCCUUUUGCAAUUCCUCACAUAUCAUACUUCGUUAGGGCGCCAUUGUUCCUCGCCAUAGAUUUUAGUAAGGACUUCAAAAAAUUUGUCACCACUUUUUCAUCUUAAAAGAUAUAAAAUAAUUUUAAGUGACGCUUAUGAUUUUCGUCACUCCAUUCUAGAAUAUGUGAUGUCUUUAUCGUCACCUAAGUGUUCUCAAAUUUCAUACCUAAAAAACUAGUCAUGCGUGACGCUCCAAACAAUUCGUCACAUAUAGAAAAAAUAUGUGAUGAAUUUUUGGGCGCCUCAUAAAAUUUGGUCACCUAUUCCAUGUUUUCUUGUAGUGAUUUGUGGCGGAUAGAUACUACGUUGUUGGUUGUUUUCUCAUGUGUUUAAUUUACUUUCUUGGAAUAGCUAGCUACGCCUGUUGGUCGAAUUUCCUUUGCUUGUAGCCUUGUACUGCUUGUCUUGGAAUAACUAUGAAACGAAUCAACUGCUAUCAAAGACUAAUCCAAUACUACAACCACAAAGAUAUUGGAAUUAAUAUUCCUAACAUCAGUGAAGAAAUGGGACUAAGUUGCCUAUAUGCUUGCCUAAAUUAUUCCGAAAGUUAUCUGCUUUCUAUCAAUUGUAUGCACGCAUAUGCAUAUUGUUGAUGCACAAAAUCAGUGAGGACUUUGGUCCAACAGAAAGUGUUAAGUUUGUGACCUUCGUUAGAUUGCUUCGGUCACUAGUGUGGAUAAGUAUAUAAAUGGAUAAAGACAAGGAAGCAAACACAAGAUGUACGUGGUUCACCCAGAUUGGCUACAUCCACUGAGUAGAGGAGUUCUCAUUAAUUGUGAAGGGUUUACACAAGUACAUAGGUUCAAGCUCUCCUUUUGUGAGUACUAGUGAAUGAUUUAAUACAAAUGAUAUUAGGAAAUAUUGUGGGAGAAUGAUCACCUUUUAUAGAAGAGAGUUUCUAGCUUUGUUCUGACAUUGACAUGUGUCGUGUUGUGAUUGGCUUCUGAUGUUGACACAUGUCACACUAUGAUUGGCUUCUGAUGUCGACAUGUGUCGCGCUGUGAUUGGCCUCUUGGUUUGAGUGAAACUCUUCUGGGUCCUUGACGGUAUAACGUUGACCGGAGCUCUGAAGUUUCAGGAUUGGUUAAGUAUGGUACAAAUAAUGCUCCCCUAAGUUCCCGAGUGAGAGAAUCUCCUCGAUUGGGGACUUACAAGAUCUAAGCCGCUGAGUAAUCACAAAACUUCUAAGUACCGAAGUGUGGUAUCGUUUUCACUUGCCUUAUCUGUCUCAUAGAUAGAUGUGGCAUCUUCUUUGGAAGUACUUUUCCUCCAUCCAGGGGUGGUAUCUUUAACUGGUGGAGAUGCACAAGGUAAUGUAUCAAUUUCACUUGAAGCUUACUUGUAGUUUCAGGCUUGGUCAAGUGCAAUACAAACCAUGUAGUAAGAGUCCCCCAAGUCGCCAAGCUAGGAGAUUUGCUGAAAGAGGUGACAGACAAGGUAAGCAAUCAGAGUUCCAAGCAAUCAGACCCAGAUCAGAAGUUUGAUUUCGAGUUCCGGCUCAUUGUUCUCAUUCUCCCUAUCUUGCAGGCAACAAGAAGGAUAAAGAGAAGAAAAAUGAGAAGAGAUGAUAUGAGAUACUUUUGCUUUUGAAGAAGUAACUUUCCACAGGCUUAUUCUUGAACUGGGCUGAAGGGUUUUCUGGUUUCCUCCAGAGUAUAAGGCCGACUCAAGAAUUUGAGGGUCAAAAUAAGUCCAUCAAAUCAAGAGUGCGUUCGACCUUGAUGAUAUGUGAUACUUUUGUUGUUGACAAAAUAAUAGAUGAAUCGCCACGUGUUCUGUUGCGCUUGUCUCCACAUGCUUCCUUGUAUCCUUCUCACUUGCCCUAUUUGUUCCUCAGGUAGAUGUGGUAUCUUUUCUGGAAGCAUAAGAUGUUGAAGAUGAGUACUCGAAAGCAAUGCCAGGUAAGUAAUCUGGCAAGGAGUUCCAGGUAGUCAGUUCAUAACUGGAAGCUUGAUUCCAAGUGCUGACUGAUUGCUCUCUUUCUCCUUGUCUUGCAGGUAAGAACAAGGCCAAAGGAAAAGACAGGGAAAAAACAUGAUAUGGGAUACUCUUGUUUUUAACCCUGAUGAUAUGAGAUACUCUUGCUCUAGUGUGGCUUGUUUGCAGAGGUAUUAUUGGGGGGGAAAAGAAGCUGAGUAUUUCGAGAGACUCUGCUAAGAGUGCCCUCUCGGAUGUGAAGAAAAGUUGAGCAUUUUUUUUAUUUGCAAGUCUACCUGGCUGUGGAGGAUGAAGGUCGACAUAUAUAGGAAUUUUCCCAACAGCGAGUGGUAACAUUGUUCCUUUACCCUUCUCGGUCAUAGCAAUGUAGUGGGAGCUGCAAGAUUCACGUGUUUUAACUUUGUCGAGCACUUUGAAAAAGUGGUCUGUGCUAUCUGGAAAGCUGAUGUUGUGCGUGAAGAUUGUAGACAAGCUUUAUCCAAGGAAAUCUGGCUCUCGAAGUUCAGAGAGCGGUGCCUCUUCUGUUUUCGAACAAGCAAUCCUGUCGGUGAUCUGGCUCUCGAGAUUCGAAGAACGGUGCCUCUUCGAUUUUUGAGAAAUCAAUCCUGUUGGGAGUCUGGCUCUUGAGAUUUGGAAAACAGUGCCUCUUCAAUUUUUGAGAAAGUAAUCAUGUUGGGAGUCUGGCUCUCGAGAUUCGGAGGGUGGUGCCUCUUCGAUUUUUGAGCAAGUAAUCCUGUUGGAAGUCUGGCUCUAGAAAUUCAGAAAGCGAUGCCUCUUCGAUUUUUGAGCAAGCAAUCUUGUUGGGAGUGUUUUCUCGAACGUGAGUAAAGGUUGGGCAUUUUUGCCAGUUUGCCUUGCCACGGAGCACGGAGGUUGACACACAUAGGGACUUUCCAGUUAUCAAGCAGUGGUGAUGUUCCUUUACCCUUGUGGGUAAUAGUAGGGUAGCUGGACCUUCAAAAUUUAUGUGUCUAAACUUUGUCAGAGAUCUUUGGCAAAGUUAUAUGUGGUACCCAAUGAGCUGAUUGCGUGUGGAGAUUGUCGACAUAUUUUACUCAGGAAAAUCCGUUUCUCGAAAUCUGGAGAGUGGUGCCUCUUCGAUUUUUAAACCAACGGUCCUGUUGUCCUUUCUUUUAUAGGGGCACCAAUUGUGUGCAAGAAGUACAUUCAGAGAGUUAUUGCUUGUAGGAAUUUUCCCCUUAUUUUUGUACUUCAGAUAUUUAUUGGACCUCAUUCUUCUUUCAUCAUUUCUGAAAAUGUCUGGCCUAUCCGACCGUCGUUUUGACAUAAACUUUGGUGAAAAGGCAGCUAUGUCUCCUCAAGACAACAUAUGACGCCCAUCAUUCUUAUCCCCUACUGGUCCUCUUACCGUUGAGGACUCUGUGAUGAAGAAUGAUAUGACCGCUGCGGUGGUGGCCAGGAACCUUCUCACUCCCAAAGAUAACAGACUACUUUCCAAACAGUUUGAUGAGUUGGCUGUUAAGGAUUCUCUAACUUUCAGUGUUCAGUGUGCAGGUUCUGUGUCUAAUAUGGCCCAACGCCUAUUUGCUCGAACCCGCCAAGUUGAAUCAUUGGCGGCUGAAGUGAUAAGUCUCAGACAGGAGAUUAGAUGGCUCAAGCAUGAUAAUAAAUAGUUGCACAGGCUCGCACAUAACUAUGCUACAAACAUGAAGAUGAAGCUUAACCAGCUGCAGGAAUCUGAUGGUCAGAUUUUACUUGAUCAUCAGAGGUUUAUGGGUUUGUUCCAAAGGCAUUUAUUGUCUUCGUCUUCUAGGGCUGUACCGCGUUAUGAAGCUCCAAAUGAUCAACCUUCGGUGCCUCCUCCUUCUGGGUUCUACCCAAUACUGAGGCUCCGAAUGAUCACCCUCCGGUGCCUACUCUUACUAGGGCUCUGCUGACUGCUGAAACUUCUCCUGAGUAACCUUUGUGAAGACUCCCUCUUGUUUGUUUAUUUUGAUUCAUGUAUAUGUACAUAUUUAUAACUUAUCAGAGAUAUCAAUAAAUAAAUUUUGCUUCAUUUCAACGUAUUGUGUUAAAUACACCAAAGCUUUCUUCACUAAGUUCUUUGAAUUUUUUCUUUUGUUGAAGCAUGUAUGUUGAAGCUUUGUGAGUGAAGCAUGUAUAUUGAGGUAGUGAUCCCUUAAUUUCCCGAGUAAGGAAGACUUCUCGGUUGGAGACUUGAAAAAUCCAAGUAACUGAGUGGUCGUGAGACUUCCGAGUAUCAAGGUGCAGUAGCAUAUGGUAGAAGUCCCCCAAGUCUCUGGUCGAGAGAGUUGACGAAAGAGGUGUCUUGCUAGUAGCCAAGUUUCCAAAGUAACAAAACUUCACCAUUUUCCCUUCUAAAUGGUAGCCCAAAACUCCUCCUUCAUAUAUAUUUGUUAUGAAAGUUGUUAGGCCCAAAGAAGAGAAGGCCUAGGCAAUUUUUUUUUUUUCGAAUUUUCAAAUUUUUUAAUUUCCGAAAAUAUAUAUAUAUAUAUAUAUAUAUAUAUAUAUAUAUAUAAGCUUUGUAGAUGAAGCUUUGAGGUUGAAGCUUUGUUGGGUACCAUGAAUUGAUUUUGCUUCACACUAUCUUGAUCAAGAGUGUGUGAAGCUUUUGUCGGUGAAGCUUUUGUAGGUGAAGCUUUUGUGUUGAAGCUUUUGUAGGUGAAGCUUUUGUGGGUGAAGCUUUUGUGGGUGUAGCUUUUGUGGGUGAAGCUUUUAUGGGUGAAGCUUUUGUGUUGAAGCUUUGUAGGUGAAACUUUGUAGGUGAAGCUUUUGUGUUGAAGUUUUGGAAUUGAAGCUUUGGAGUUGAAGCUUUUGUAGGUGAAGCUUUGGAGUUGAAGCUUUUGUAGGUGAAACUUUGGAGUUGAAGCUUUGUAGGUGAAGCUUUUGUGUUGAAGCUUUUGUUGGCACCAUAAAUUGGUUUUGCUUCACACUGUCUUGAUGAAGAAUGUGUGAAGCUUUUGAGAAUUGUGGUUGCCCUCCAUUGAUGAAGCUCUUGUUGGCACCAUAAAUUGGUUUUGCUUCACACUGUCUUGAUCAAGAGUGUGAAGCUUUUGAGAAUUGUGGUUGCCCUCCAUUGAUGAAGCUCUUGUUGGCACCAAGAAUUGUGGUUGCCCUCCAUUGAUGAAGAUCUUGUUGGCACCAUAAAUUGGUUUUGCUUCACACUGUCUUGAUCAAGAGUGUGUGAAGCUUUUGAGAAUUGUGGUUGCCCUCCAUUGAUGAAGCUCUUGUUGGCACCAAGAAUUGUGGUUGCCCUCCAUUGAUGAAGCUAUUGUUAGCACCAUAAAUUGGUUUUGCUUCACAUUGUCUUGAUUAAGAGUGUGAAGCUUUUGAGAAUUGUGAUUGCCCUCCAUUCAUGAAGCUCUCGUUGGCACCAAGUGUGUGAAGCUUUUGAGAAUUGUAGUUGCCCUCCAUUGAUGAAGCUCUUAUUGGCACCAUAAAUUGGUUUUGCUUCACACUGUCUUGAUCAAGAGUGUGAAGCUUUUGAGAAUUGUGGUUACCCUCCAUUGAUGAAGCUCUUGUUGACACCAUAAAUUAGUUUUGCUUCACACUGUCUUGAUCAAGAGUGUGUAAAGCUUUUGAAAAUUGUGGUUGAACUCCUUUGAUGAAGCUAAUAUGUUCACCUCCUCCCCCUCUCUUUUUUUCGGAUUUUUUUUUCUUUUUUUUCGGAUGUUUUUUUUUUCUUUUUUUUAGGGGGAGAAGGGGUGCUGUAAGUUUGAAAUUUGAAAACUCCCUAGCUUGUGUGGAAGUUUGAAGACUUUCCAUGUGGGGUUUUCUCAUGGUUUGAAUUUUGAAUUUUGAAUUUCUUUGGCCAUGUUGAACCCUAUGAGAAUGAUAAGUUUCCACUCUUUUCAUUGUCUUCAUUUGCUCAUUUUGUAGUGAUUUUUGGAGACAUAGUGCUCUUAUAGCUGAGAGGGAUUCCGACAUUGCUUUGCACCAUGUUCAGGUUGGUAGUCUUCUUCACUAGAUCGCAUGCUUUCAUUCUUGUUGAAUUGUUUGAGUGUUCAUGUAUUUGGUUGAGAACAUAAUGAACUGAUUGAGCUUUUCUCCAUGCCCUAGGAACUUCUUUAUGUUUCGAUCUUUCAUGUGGUGAUAGAUUUUGUUUUUGUUUGUUGUAGAUGUCAGAGUCUGAAAGUCCUAGUGAUGAGGGCUCCCCUAACUCUAACUCUAGGUUUGAGCUUGCAAUGUUUGAGUCUUGUACAAAAAAUUCGAGAUUGGGUGAUCUUCGCAAUUGUCAAGCCUUAACCAAUAUUGGUUCUUCCUCCUUCAUGUCAGUGGGUGAGGGGGUUGUUUGUGACGCCAUGCCCAUAUUUCGCUCUGAGUUCACAGCAGACCAUUUAGUGCAAAACUUGUUAGAUAGCGAAAAACAGCUUGAGGCCCUAAGGUAGUCAUGUAGUAUCCCCCGUAGUGUAAGAAUGCGUUUGGUGCAUCAUGAAGAAUUGUCCUCUAAACCGCCCAAUGGUCAUGUUAUGUUCUAUACCCAGAUAUUAUUGACUUUAGAGGUGAAGCUGCUUGUGCACCCAUGGUUGCAACGGAUGUUGUCUUUCAUUAGAUAUGCGCCUGGGCAACUCUACCUUGGUUUUUGGGAUACCUUGAUCGGGUUUUAUAUUAUUUGGAUAGAAUGUGGGUUAGGUGAGCCUUCCUUUCAUCAGUGGCGCUACUGCUAUAAGAUGCGCCCGGUGAAAGCAUGCACUAGGUAUGCCGAGUGUGCAUGUCAGAGUGAGAGAGAGUGUAUUAUCUUUGGUAAGAAAAAUGCGUACUGCACUUGGAAAAACCGUUGGUGCUUUCUUUAUAAUGAUUGAGUAUGCUAAAGGUGUCAUGCCUGAGCGACAUGUUCCUACUCACUUCCAAACUGUAGGUUGUAAUGUAUCCAUUGUUUGCAUUAUUUGCUAUUUGUUGUGAUUUUCUCUUGCUUCUAACAUUUUUCUUCGUGCAGUGACGCGAGGGACCAUCAAGCCGUCCGAAUGGGAGCUAGCUAACGUAGAGAGGUGUUGAGGGUGCCCAAAGAGGAUAGACAUUUAGGCAAGCUACGACCCUUAUUUCGAAAGUACGGUUUCCAGCCCCUAGUGUCGGAGUGCAAAAGACGAGCAAGUAAGUUGUGUCUUUCAUUUCGCCUCCUCUUUCUUUUACAAAGUUGCAUUCCUUACUUUGAUUUUUCUUGUUUAGUGGAGAAAAUGGGCAAGAAAGGCAAAGCACCCAUGUUAGUUCCCGUAGAUGACAUUUUGUUUCACAAGAGAGCUCAUAAGCACUUGGUAAGGCCAACCCCUAAACCUAAGUCACAAGAGAAGGUCAUCAAGAUUGCUGCCUCAAAGAAGGCUGAAGUUGAGGUCAUCGAGUGUGCUGUUGCCAUAGUUGCAGGGGAUGAGAGACGACUGUUCCCUCCUCUUCCUACCAUCAAUCCUAUAUUUCCUUUAACCAUGGAGUAUACUGACCAAAAUGGUGGCCUUAGCUCUAGCCGUAAGAGAAAGUAUAAGGAAGAGGUUGGCAGCAUUCAUUGGAAAGACUUGAAGGUUGCCAUGCAGCCAAGUAGUUUUAGGUAUGUCAAUAAUUUCCUAGUAAGAUGUCGAUCCACUGUUGAUGAGCUUGGCGAGACGCUAGAUGAAAACGAAUCAGAUCGUGACUGGAUGAUGAUGCUAUCUUCUUAUGUAAGUGUUACUCUGUCAUUUCUUUGCUUUCUCCCCUCUUUUUCCUGGUAGUGACGAUCAUCUUGUCAUGUAGGUCAUGACCGAGUACGAUGACAAAUUACGAAAGGUCAAGCGGUACAAGGCAAAGUUUAAAGAGAAUAAGCAGCUUGUGAAUGAUGCCAAAAAAACAAGCCAAGCUUUGGCUGAUGACAUCCGCCUUAAGGAUCAAAACUUUAAGAGUUUAAAGAGGCAGAAUGGUGAGAACGUGAGGCUCAGGAAACAAUUGGAAGCAACUAAGGAACAGUUGGAGACAACCAUCCUUGAGGUUUCCAAGGUUAAAUGGGAGUUGGAUAGUGCCUUGGUUGAGGUUUCUGGACUAAAGAGAAGUAUCCCGACUGAGAAGGAUGCUGCUAUGCAGGAGUUCUUAGGUUCCCAGGCCUUUCACGAUGCCUUUAGACCUCACUGCAUCCGGGCGGCUAAUUUUGAGAAAAGGAAAUAGAUGGUCGUCCUUGAGCGUUACGACAAUGGAAGCAUUAUCCGAAAGUACCAUGAUAAGAAGGAUGAGUACCUACAAAAGGUGAAGCCUUCAUCCUCGUAGUUGAUCCUAGUAGUGAUGAUGACUCUGAUAAUGAGGCUAGUAUCAGUGAGCAGUCUCAGGAGAGUGAAAAUGGUCCUAAAGAUGCUGAGGAAGGUGGUGAUGGCGAUGGGGUUAAAAUGUAGGGUGAUAUUGUCAGGGGUUCGGUCUCAAAUGAGGAUGACUCGUAGUGCCCUGUUGUUUGUGUGGCAUGUGCCAUGUACUCUAGAUGUACUAGUUUGUUAUUUGUGUGGCAUGUGCCAUGUACUCUAGAUGUACUAGUUUGUUAUUUGUGUGGCAUGUGUCAUGUACUCUGAAUGUACUAGUUUGUUGUUUGUGUGGCAUGUGCCAUGUAUUCUGGAUGUACUAGUUUGUUGUUUGUGUGGCACGUGCCAUGUACUCUGGAUGUACUAGUUUUUUGUUUGUAUGGCAUGUGCCAUGUUGUAAGCCUGAGAGCUUUUUAUUUAUGGAUGCUUACGACUUUGCGCCGUAUAGUUUGAUGUUAAUUACCAAGUAUUUGCACUAUCAUUGAUGAAUGCCUGGCUAUGUUUGAGCAAAUCCUUUGUUUGGAUAUAAGCCAUAACUUGGGUCAGAUUGAACGAAUAUACUGUAGAGUUGUUCGUUUAUUUGUAUAGUCUUGUUGACAUAUACUUAGACUUUAUUUCCUGUUGGGAGCAUUCAUGUUUAAGCUUUGAACCUGAGUGUUUCAUUGCUAGGAAUGUAAGAGGAUUAUGACCGAGUUGUCUAAAUCACCUCUUUAUUGAAUUCAUGACAAAUGGUCUUCGUUACAUAGGAUGCCGAACAGCUGAAGCUUAACACUUGUACAAUGUGAGUUUACUUGAAAUAGUACUUCAAGUGAUCAGUGUUCCAUGGAUAGCCAAGGGUCUUGCCAUCGGAGCUUCUAAGCUUGUAGAAGCCAGGGCGACUGAUGCCAACAACUUCAAACGGCCCAUCCUAGUUUGGACUAAGAGUUCCUUCACUCGGGACUCUGUCGCAGAGUAAUCUUUUCAUCAAUACCCAGUCCCCUACUUUGAAAGAACGAGGUUUGACCCUUGAGUCAUAGUAGUUGGAGAUGCACUGCUUGUAGGCGACAUUCCUCAAGUGAGCCUGGUUUCUGUGUUCCUCGACUAGAUCUAAGUUGAGGGUAAGUUGUUUGUCAUUUUCGCUUUGCACGUAGUUCUGGACUCGGACAUUGCUUGCUUAAGCUCAACUGGGACAACUACCUCUGUACCAAAAGCAAAUGAGAAUGGGGUUUCUCCUGUUGACGUCCGAUACGAAGCGCGGUAUGACCAAAGAACUUGGGGUACAAAUUCUGGCCAACAACCUUUAGCCUUGUCCAAGCUGGUUUUCAACUUGUCCAUUAGACUGGGGAUGAACUGGGGAAGCAAAAUAUAAGUUGAUGUUGAACUUAAAGCACAACAUCCUGAACUUAUUGUUGUCGAACUGUCGCCCGUUGUCAGUGACUAUCGCAUUGGGAAUGCCGAAUCUGCAAAGGAUGUUCUUCCAUACGAAGUCUUCUAUUUUUGCCUCAGUAAUGGUUGCCAAGGGUUCUACUUCGACCCACUUUGUGAAAUAGUCAACUGCAACGAUUGCAUAGCGGACCUUGCCCUUCCCUGCAAGCAUUGGGCCGAUCAAAUCAAGUCCCCAUUGGGCGAAGGGCCAAGGGCUGAUCGUAGGAGUGAGCGGCUCGGGAGGGGAGUAAGGAAUAGUUGCAUAGCGUUGACAUUUAUCACAUAAGCGGGAUAUUCUGAUGGCAUCUUGGUGGAGUGUUGGCCAGUAAUAUCCUUGGCGAAAAGCCUUGUGUACUAGGGAUCAAGAUCCAGCAUGAUCUCCGCAGACUCCUUCAUGUAUUUCCCGAAAGACAAUUUCCGCCUCCGCGGGCGUAAGGCAUCUUAGGUAUGGUAGGUUGAAACCCCACUUGUAGAGUUGGUCGUCAAUGAUCAAGUAACGGGUAGACUUGUAUCGAAGCUACUUAGCUUGUACUUUGUAAUUUGGAAGGUGCCAUGAGCAAGGAAUCUAUAAAUCGGGGUAAUCCAACUAUCCCCCUGUUGUAAAUUGCACACUUCCGUAGCCAUGGUGCUUGGUGCUGCCAACAAUUCGACCUGAAUUUUUCUCCUAAUAUUGUCUUCCACUGUUAAUGCGAGGCGAGCCAAAGCAUCUGCAUGACUAUUUGCCGUUCGAGGAAUUUGGGUGAUCUGGUAGUGGAAGUGUUUGAGCAACAAUUGUGUUUGUGCCAAAUAUGCUACCAUGGAGCUAUCCUUAGCGUUAAAGUUGUUGGUGACCUGGUUAACCACCAAUUGGGAGUCACUGAAGAUAUCAAUUUGUUUAACCCCAAGGUUUUUGGCCAAACGUAAGCUUGCUAUGAGGGCUUCAUAUUCGGCCUCAUUGUUCAACGCCUUGAAUUUGAAACGAAUAGCAUACUUCAUCGCCACUUUGUUAGGGGUCCUAAGAACUAGUCCUGCUCCACAACCCUAUUGGUUGGACAAGCCAUCAACAUAUAGACUCCAUGCUGGGGUUGUUGGUUCUAUUUUCUGAGCUUCCGAGGGUAAUGAAACCACUUCUUUAGGCGUAGAAACAAUGUCAACAGGAUAUGUGAAGUCGAUGAUGAAGUCUGCCACUGCUUGGCCCUUCUCAGCUGGCUUUGGUUGGUAGAAGAUGUCAAACUCACCCAAUGAUAUUGCCCAUUUGAUCAUUCACCCUGAAAUGUCAGGACUUUGGAGUAUCUGUCGAAUAGGAUGAUUGGUAAGCACGAUGAUGGAGUGUGCUUGGAAGUAAAGGCGAAGUUUUCGAGCAGUCAUGACCAAUGUUAAAGCCAAUUUCUCAAUGUUGGAGUAUCGUGUCUCCGCAUCUUGUAAGGCCUUGCUAGCGUAAUAGACAGGUCGUUCAACAUUACCAUCCUUUUGAAUGAGAACGGAACUUACUGCUGAAGCCGAUACCGAUAGAUAGAUAAUGAGAGUGUAACCAACCUCAGGUUUGGAGAGCAGAGAGGCUUUACUCAUGUAGUCCUUGAGGUUUUUGAAUGCCUCGGCACAUUCAUCAGUCUAUGUAAUGUACUUCUUACUUCCCUUGAGUGCUUUAAAGAAAGGAGCACAUCUGUCUGUGGCCUUAGAGAUGAACCUAGUUAAGGCUGCCGUCUUGCCAGUGAGGCUCUGGAUGUCUUUUGAAGUUACUGGUUCCUUCAUGUCGAGUAUUGCUUUGAUUUUCUCGGGAUUAGCCUCAAUGCCUCAUUGGCUUAUCAUGAAGCCUAAGAAUUUGCCAUAGCCUACGCCGAAGGCACAUUUGUUGGGGUUUAACCUCAUUCGAUACCUCUUCAGAAUGGUGAAAGUGUGGUUGUUAAGCAUUAGCUAGAAAUUUCUAGCAAUGCCAAAGUUGGCAAACUUAUCUAUAAAUAGGUGAGGUGCUAAGCUAUGUGAUGUAACAACCAAGAGAGCAAGUAGUGAGAAAUGAGAGUGCCAAGUCAGAAGUGAGAAAUGAGAAGUGAGAAGAAGCAACAAAGCUUCUAAAAGUGUUUGAGUGUUUCCUCUUGUACUAAGUUUGUGAGUGAAUAAAAAUCUUGUGUAAUAGUUUGAGUAUUAUUUCUUUCUCUUGUCUAUCAAUUUCGCCGCAUUACAUUAUUCUUUGUGAGAUAAACAUCUCCAAAGUAGGGAAGUCUUUUUAAGCCCCAAUAAAGUGGUAUCAGAGCUAUGGCUAGCAACGCUGUGGCAGCCUUCCAAGGUCUAGUACUCGACAACAACAACUUUGAUAAUUGGAGUAUCAAAAUGAAGGCCCUUUUGGGAGCACACGAUGUAUGGGAAGUCGUGGAGAAAUGCUACAUUGAGCCAGAAGAUGAAGCUACUCUGUCUCAACCUCAGAAUGAGAGUUUGAAAGAUUCAAGAAAGAGAGACAAGAAGGCUUUCUACCUCAUCUACCAAGCAUUAGAUGACAAUGGUUUUAAGAAGGUCUCGAGUGCAACCUCUGCCAAGCAAGCAUGGGAGAAGCUUCAAACCUCUUACAAAGGAGCCGAACAAGUGAAAAAGGUUCAUUUUCAAGUAUUAAGAGGUGAUUUCGAAUCUCUACAAAUGAAAGGGUCUGAAUCAAUAUCUGAUUAUUUCUCAAGAAUCUUAGCCGUAUCCAAUCAAUUAAAAAGAAACGGAGAAAAGUUAGAAGAUAAUAGAAUUAUGGAGAAGAUACUACGCUCGUUGAACCAAGUUCGAGCACAUUGUUGUGACGAUUGAAGAAACUAAAAACUUGAAAGAAAUUAGUAUAGAGUAAUUAAUGGGUUCACUACAAGCAUAUGAAUAGAAACAUAAGAAAAGGCAAGGGAAUGAUGAGCAGCUCCUCAAGACACAUGUCCAACCAAAGAAGAAAAAAGAAAAAAGAAAGCUUCGACAACGAGAGAAGCCAGUAUGGAAAAAGUCGUGGUUGAGGUUGCGGAUAUGGACAUGGACGUGGACGUGGUUGAGGUUGUGGAUGUGGACAUGGUUGGAUCUUCAACAACCAUAGCAACUACGAAAGAGGAAGAAGCUCAACAAAAGGUCAUGGAAGAGGACAUUCAAACUUAAGGUAUGAAAAAUCUCAAGUUCAAUGGUACAAUUGUCAAAAGUUUGGGCAUUAUGAUUGGGAAUGUAGAGCUCCAAGCAAUAGACCUGAUGAGAAGGUCAAUUAUGUGAAAGAAGAGAGAAGAGAAUGGCAUUGUGCUACUAGCAUGCAAGAACAAUGAUGGAGACAAAGACUAUACAUGGUACCUUGACACCGGCGCCAGUAACCACAUAUGCGGAAGAAAAAGCAUGUUCGUAGAGCUCAAUAAAUCGGUGAAUGGCAACAUUUCUUUUGGAGACGAAUCCAAAAUACCCGUAAAAGGAAAAGGUAACAUCCUUAUUCCUCUGAAAAAUGGCGGUCACCAAUUAAUUUCAAAUGUCUACUACGUGCCCAAUAUGAAAAGCAACAUUUUGAGCUUGGGUCAACUCUUAGAAAAAGGUUAUGAUAUUCAUAUGAAAAAUUAUAGACUUUUUCUUAGAGAUGACAAAGGAAGAUUAAUUGCCAAGGUAAAAAUGUCAAAGAAUAGGAUGUUUCCCAUGAACAUUCAAAACGAUGUUGCAAAAUGUCUCAAGAUAUGUUACAAAUACAUAUCCUGGCUUUGGCAUCUUCAUUUUGGGCAUCUUAAUUUUGGGGGACUGGAGUUAUUGUCUAAGAAGGAGAUAGUGAGAGGCUUAUCGUGCAUCAGUCACCCUGAUUAAGCUUGCGAAUGAUGUUUACUUGGGAAACAGUUCAGGAAAAGCUUUCCAAAUGAGUCGACCACAAGAGCCCAAAAGCCACUCGAGCUCAUUCACAUUGAUGUGUGAGGUCCAAUAAAACCAAGCUCUUUGGGUAAAAAUAAUAUUUCCUUCUCUUCAUUGAUGAUUUUUCAAGCAAAAGCUGGGUGUAUUUCUUGAAGCAGAAAUCAGAGGUAUUUGGAGCAUUUAAGAAGUUCAAAGUCGUUGUAGAAAAAGAAAGUGGUUGCAAGAUCAAAGCCAUGAGAUCUGAUCGAGGAGGAGAAUUCACUUCAAAGGAAUUUCAAGAAUUCUGUGAAGCUAAUGGAUUUCGUUGACGUUUGACAGUUCCAAGAUCCCUUCAAGAAAAUGGUGCGGCGAAAAGAAAAAUUCGAACCAUCCUCGACAUGGCUCGAAGCAUGCUCAAAAGUAAGAGAUUGCCUAAGGAGUUAUGGGUAAAAGCUGUAGCAUGUGCUGUCUACCUAUCCAAUCGGUCUCCAACAAGAAGUGUGUGGGGAAAGACUCUACAAGAAGCAUGGAAUGGAAGAAAACCAGGUAUCUCUCAUCUAAGAGUUUUUGGAAGCAUAGCCCAUGUACAUGUACCAGAUGAAAGGAGAACCAAACUCGACAACAAUGAAAAGUUCAUCUUCAUCGGAUAUGAUUCAAAUUCAAAAGGCUAUAAGUUAUAUAAUCCGAACAAUGGGAAGACUGUGAUCAAUCAAGACGUGAUGUUCGAUGAAGAAGGAGAAUGGGAUUUUUGCUCUCAUGCAAGUGAUCUCAGCUUCUUUCCUCAGUUUAAAAAAGAGAAUGAACAAGGGAUGAUGGAGCAAGCAAGAGAGGUUCAACAAGAAUCCACUACUCCACCUAUUUCACCAACAUCAACCAAUCAUGGUACUUCACCAGGAUCAUCAAGUGGGAGCCUAAAUGAAAGAAAAGUACCACGCACAAGAAGUAUACGAGAUCUCUAUAAGGUAGCUGAAAGACUUGAUAAUCCUAUGCUUUUAUGUCUCUUUGCUAAUUGUUAACUAGUCGACUUCCAAGAAGCAGGGCAGGAUACUAAGUGGAGGAAAGCAAUGGAUGAAGAAAUUGAAGCAAUUCAAAAAAAUGAUACAUAGGAACCCGUUAUUCUUCCAAAAUGACACAAAGCCAUCGGAGUCAAGUGGGUGUACAAGACAACGAAAAAUGCCAAUGGAUAGGUUGAAAGAUACAAGGUGAGACUAGUGGCAAAAGGCUAUAGUCAAAGAGCCGGAAUCGACUAUAAUGAGGUAUUUGCACCUGUUGCUCGUUUGGAAACUAUAUGAUUACUAUUUUCCUUGGCAGCUCAAAAUAAAUGGAAGAUUCAACAAAUGAAUGUGAAGUCCGUUUUCCUAAAUGGAGUCUUUGAGGAAAAAGUCUACAUUCAGCAACCAUCAGGCUAUGAAAGUAAAGGACAUGAAGACAAGGUUCUGAAGCUAAAGAAAACCCUCUACGGGUUAAAACAAACGCCACGAGCAUGGAAUAGUCGCAUCGACAAGUACUUCCAGGAAAACAAUUUCACCAAGUGCCCUCAUGAACAUGCUCUCUACGUCAAAGUCAAAGAUGGAGAUAUUUUGAUUGUGUGCUUGUAUGUGGAUGAUCUAAUCUUCACCGGAAGUAAUCCAAGCAUGUUUGAAGAGUUCAAGAGAGUGAUGACCAAAGAAUUCGAGAUGACCUACAUCGGGCUGAUGGCAUACUACCUAGGCAUUGAAGUCAAGCAGAACAAAGAAGGCAUUUUCAUCUCCCAAGAAAGCUACACAAAGAAGAUACUGAAAAAGUUCAAAAUGGACGACUACAAGCCCAUAACCACACUAAUGGAGUGCGGAGUCAAACUAACCAAGCAUGACCAAGGAGAAAGGGUAGAUCUAACAUUUUUCAAAAGUAUAGUUGGAAGCUUGCGCUACUUGACUUGCAUAAGACCAGAUAAUCUCUAUGCUGUCGGAUUAGUCAAUCGCUACAUGGAGAAUCCCACAGCUACACAUUUGAAGACCGCCAAAAGAAUUCUUCGAUACCUUAAAGGUACUAUUAACUUUGGCUUGUUCUAUUCAAAUUCUGAUAACUACAAACUUGGUGCAUAUAGCGAUAGUGAUUGGGCAAGAGAUUCCGACAAUUGAAAAAGCACUACAGGAUUUGUGUUCUUCAUGGGAGACACUGCAUUCACAUGGAUGUUGAAGAAGCAACCAAUUGUCACUCUGUCUACCUGCGAAGCUGAAUACAUAACUACUACCUCAUGUGUUUGUCAUGCAAUUUGGCUGAGAAACUUGCUGAAAGAAUUAAGCAUGACACAAGAAGAGCCAACAGAGAUCUAUGUUGACAACAAGUCUGCAAUAGCUCUAGCAAAGAAUCUAGUAUUCCAUGACAGGAGCAAACACAUAGAUACCCGCUAUCAUUACAUAAGAGAGUGUAUUGCAAGUGGAAUACGUGAAGUCUCAAGACCAAAUUGCGAACAUAUUCACUAAGCCACUCAAACAAGAAGACUUUAUCAGACUGAGGAACUCAAUCGGUGUCACAAGACAAGAUUAAGGGGGGAUGUUGAAUUGUAAUCUUGUCUUGGCCCAAGACAAUUAAUCUGGCCCAUACACAAAGAAAGAUCCAUGCACAUACUUGAGAGCUCUAGCAAAGUUCAAGUUGGUGGAAUGCAUGCAUAAAUAUCUAAGGCUUUUUGUAGAAAUAUCUAGAAUCUUGUAAAAAUGUGUGGUUGUUAAGCAUUAGCUAGAAAGUUCUAGCAAUGCCAAAGUUGGCAAACCUUGCCUAUAAAUAGGUGAGGUGCUAAGCUAUGUGAUGUAACAACCAAGAGAGCAAGUAGUGAGAAGUGAGAGAGCCAAGUGAGAAGUGAGAAGUGCGAAGAAGCAACAAAGCUUCCAAGAGUGUUUGAGUGUUUCCUCUUGUAUUAAGUUUGUGAGUGAAUAAAAAUCUUGUGUAAUAGUUUGAGUAUUCUUUCUUUCACUUUCCUAUCAAUUUCACUGCGUUACAUUCUUCUUUGUGAGAUAAACAUCUCCAAAGUAGUGAAGUCUUUUUAAGCCCCAACAAUAUAUUGUCAGAUCUGUAACGGAAUAGAACGCUGAAGAUUUCACAUCAUCUGUGAAAUUCUGUUGUAUAACAUGAAGCGGUGAAAUUGAAUAUGGUUGACUAAUACUGUUGCUAAAAUAUUGUUAAACGCAGAAACUCUGGCGUAAGUUGAUGGAAAGCAUCAACGAUCGUCUACUCUUGGGCUGUUCACAUCAGCAUUUUUUUUUCAACUUCAACCAAGUAUAUCUCUAAUUGUUCAGUUAGUUUUUCGUACGUACUAUUAUUAUAGCUAGAUUAGCAGUCAUGUUCUCCUAGACCUCAGGUUUACAGAAAUCAUGGCCACCCACCGUUUGAUCUUAAUCCAACGGUAGUAAGGCCAAGUACUGAUGGCACAGUACAUUCUUUCUUCCAAAAUUUUGAGCCUGCUAGAGUGACUCGAAUAGGAGAAACCCUCCAAGUCUGAGAAUACCACAAAAUUAGCAUCAGGUUUUUCCAACUUCCGUUUUAACGUCACUCUGCCACAGAAAGUAGCUAGUGAAUGAAGCUGAAGCCCAAUCGGCUGUGAGAUUCGAGGUGAGAUCCGGAUUUGUCUUGGUGUAUAUAUAUGCGUUUGGUUUCUGUUUUAGGGUUUGUAAAUUCUGCAUAUUAACCAAAAAUGUUGCAGCUUAAUUGCUGUUAAACCCAAAAUAUAUGCGUUUGGCGAAACAUAUCAAACAAAAAAUUGCUGUUUUUCGUCACUGUGCGAGAAUUACCCUUAAAUUAAUUACAUGCCUAGUUUUUUGUUUCGAUAGAAUUCCCUUUUUAUAUUGAAAAUAUGUAUCUAUUUUUGGUGGCUCUCUUAAUUUGACCUGUUAAUUAGCUGAGUAAAUAUAUCUAGUAUUAAUUAAUUUAUGUGCAACAAACAGAUGAGAAGAAAGAAACAAAAGCUGUCGAAAGCUCUAUGAGUAAACUCCAACUUGAUGAUGAUACUCCUACUGCAAAGAAGAAAAGUUACCGUGAGUCUAAGAAAUGCCAUUCUCAGAAUGAGCAUUGUGCAGUUUGCCUUAUGGACGGCCACCACCAAUAUCUUUGUCCCUACCGGGAAAGUGUCCCGUUAGGCGUAAUUGAAGUUGGAGAGGGCUAUAUACUAAUGUGUAGGACUUGUGGUUUUGUGGGUAACGUCUGCGAUAAUGGCCGCUCUUAUGCUCGUUUCUAUAGGCGUGCUGCGGCUCUGAAACAUGGGUACCCAAGCCACGAGGAAGUGGAGCAAUUCAGCGCAAGACAGAGAGAAAUGGCUGAAAUGUCCAGGGCACGAGUGGAGAGAGGUGAACCAUCCUUAUUGGAUGAUACCUCUUCCGAUUCCUCUUCUGAUACCUCUUCCGAUUCCUCUUCUGAUUCCUCUUCUGAGAUAUAAUCGUAAUGAAGCUUAGGAUUGGAACAUGCGGUGGCUGCAGCUGUUGGAUUGCCUUUUCUGUUCAUUCAUGGCGGAUAGAUACUACUUUGUUGGUUGUUUUCUCGUGUGUUUAAUUACGUUCUUGGAAUAGCUAGUUGCGCAUGUUGGUCGAAUUUCCUUUGCUUGUAGGCUUGUACUGCUUGUCUUGGAAUAACUAUGAAACGAAUCAACCGCCAUCAAAUACUAAUCUCACCAGAAUUGUUCAGUUAGUUUUUCGUACGUACUAUUAUUAUAGCUAGAUCAGCAGUCAUGUUCUCCUAGACCUCGGGUUUACAGAAAUCAUGGCCACCCACCAUUUGAUCUUAAUCCAACGGUAGUAAGGCCAAGUACUGAUGGCACAGUACAUCUUUCUCCCAAAUUUUGAGCCUGCUAGAGUGACUCGAAUAGGAGAAACCCUCAAAGUAUGAGAGUACCACAAAAUUAGCAUCAGGUUUUUCCAGCUUCCGUUUUAACGUCACUCUGCCACCAUAAGUAGCUAGUGAAUGGAGCUGAAGCGCACAAGGAACGUGUACUAGCAGCAAAACAGAAGGCCAACCAUAAAUCCUAGAAGAGGCGGGACUUGCAUUGGAAGCAACUGCAGCAGCAAGCCUCAAGAGGCAACAAUUUUGGCGGCAGACUAAGCAGUUGAGAUGUUUUAUUAGAUUAAGCUGCAACCAUCCGUAAAUGCAGAUUUCGCAUCCAACAAUGCUCAGUUCAUAUCUUAGCUGCUGUUAUAUUUAUGGUUUCUCUUGCUUUUCUCUAAUUUUUAGUUAACCUAGCUUGUUUCAACAAGAUUUAGAACGGCCUUCUAUUUGUUUUAAUUUGUUUUAAUUUGUUUAAAUUUUUGUGAAAGCUAGUUACUAAUUGGCCACCUCUUUAACAUAUAUAUAGUCGUUUGUAUAUGUACAUCUAUAUAUAUACACUAGAAACGAAAGAUCACCCAAAUAUAACAAUUCCUUUAUUGCACAACCAGAUAACUCAUACAACUGUCAGACUAAGGCAGGAAAUUAGUAUUAAAACUAACGAUUGAAUUACAAAGUGAAGAGAUGAGGUAAGGUCUCCUGAGUUGUAAGAAUGAAGUAGCCAUUAUCCAGUACCAAAAAUUCUCAUGUCCACCUUUAUUCACAUCAUAGAAAGCUAUUGAUUGGCUACGGUUCAUAGAGCCAUGCGUAACUAAAUCAAUAAAGACCUAAAAUUUUGGAAAUACCCACUAUAGAAUCCCCUAAUACCAGUCCUUCUCUCUCCACCUUUCAAAAUCAACAACUUUUCUCUCCUUCCCAUCUCGAUAUAUACUAUAUGUUUGGAUCAAAACUUGAACUUUGUGCUCAAGAAAGGAGCUGGCCCAAAAGGAGGCCCGAAGGGAAAGUCAGCCGAAGCCCAGUCAAAGCCCAGAAAGCAGAAAGGGCCUUUUCUGACUUGGUGCAGCUCAUGAGGACCACUUGCUUACCUACCCAAAGGCCAAGUGGUAUAGACUAACCAGCUACACAGCCCAUAAAGUACUUUAUGAUGGCAGUACAUGUAAAAUAGCUGAUGAGUCAUCACCCUUCAAACCGCAUUCAGGCAAGGUUGCUGCUACAGGAGACCAAGCCGAGUUGUCUAUAUAAGAAGAAAGAGAAACCAGGAAUAAAGACACUCAAUCAAACAAACAAAUGCAAGCACAAACUCUGCUCAAAGCCAGAUUUUCCUUCAAAACAAAGCUGUAGUCAGCCCAAGCCUUCAUCCCUCUCGGGACAAGCCUUCAUCCCUCGCGGGAUAAACCUUCACUCAAACCCUUGUAAUAGCUCUGCUACCUUGUUCAACCUUACUGUAGUAUCGAUUCAUCUUUUGUAAAUCUCUCUCCCUUUCUGAAGCUUUCAUACCCUUGAUAAACUACAAAGAUAGGAACCUGCAAGACGACAAGGCUUGCCCGACAAGGUUAAAACCUUGCCCGACCUUCUUUGUUUUUGUCUUUUCAUUCAUUAGCCUAGCAAUAUGUUGUAUACUUCCAGUUAUAUUCAAGUUAUUUUUAGCAAGAUGACUAUUAAAAGGCUUUCUCAGUACUUGGAUCCGAUUUGAAUGUAUCUUCAGUGUUCAAACCAGAUCCAAGUCCUAAGCCCUCGGGCAUGUAAAUCUGAUUAGUUAAAAGUCCUUGGCCUCAAGGCAUAAAAAAGAACCUUAUAUGGACUUAACCCAUCCACGACAAUCCUUGAUAAACGAGAAGUCCGAAGUUACUUGGGGCGCAAGUAAUCGACCUACCUCUUAGUCUUAUUUCUAUUACAUUAUGAUUAUCAUAGAACGCUUAAGCAUGGGAAGGAUUCUGAUAGGAAGCCUCAAGGCCUACACCUAAGGCCCCACGAAGGCACCUAUUUAGAUUCAUUCCGUUAUGCGGUCUAGAACGUUUGAGUAUAAGAACGAACUCUAAUGGGAAGCCUCAAGGCCUACAUCUAAGGCCUUACAAAGGCACUUAUUUGGGUUCAUUCUACCUCUCGAACUCGGGUAAUCAGAAGUAUAAUAGUUAUAAGACUCAUGCAUUCACAAGAACAAAUAUGAUGUGUUCGAGCACUGGUUUAGUUAUUGAUAGGAAGCCUCAAGGCCUACACCUAAGGCCCCACAAAGGCACCUGUUAUAACUAACACGGUUUCUCGGGUAUAUACAUAUACAACCAAAACUCAACAUCCAUUUCACAUCUGCCAUACUAAAGAUGGCAGUGGCACGCCUGAGCACUUAAAAGUUAACCUUGAUUGUGAGCCUCAAGGCCUACACCUAAGGCCCCACAAAGGCACCUCUCAAAGUUAACUAUGUCCUUCUUUUUCAGCCUUACCCGACGAGACUUGCCCGACAAAGCCCGAUAGUGAAGCAGAAGCCCGACAGCAGCCCUCAACCGGCGCCAACCUCCCGGGGAGCUGUGUGCUCGUCGGCAAGGAAACAUCCCCGACGGAAAUUCCUGACGCGAACACUAUAUAACAACAAUUUCUGGAUUCAUUUCAGAAAAUUUUGAAUUUUUAUCCAUGAACACACAGGUACAAAGCUCAAACCAAUACAAACAUUCUCAUUUUAUUUGUGGUACCACUUCGAAACCAAUAUCUAAACACAAUUCAAUCAAAUGCCCCCCACCCCUAUAAAAGAAUUUCAAAAUUUACCUAAAAUUGUAACAAAGCUUGGGGACGCUCAUCUUGUGCUGCAAAUUGGACUUGGGUUGCUUGAGCCUGAUACAGAAGACGACGGUGGGGUUGACUGCGUCUUCCUCCAUGGGAUCGUCGGGCUCAUCCACGGGCUCUACCUCUUCGUCUUCUUCUCCUUCUCCUCCAAUGCUCUCAAUACUCCCCGUUUCGAGCUUGUCGCUCUCAAGGGAAUGAGUUACAGGCUCAUCGUCAGAGCAAAACUCACCUGGAAACGCCGGAUUAGAUCGGUUCCAACCAAAUCCCAAUCGAAUCCAAAAUAGGUACAAAUCUCUAAUAUCUGAUAUCAACAAAAAAAAAAAAAAAACACACGAAAAAAAAUGCAAAAUCAAAACCCUCGCUGUCAGAAACAUGAAAAACUUCUUGUAAAGGACCGAUCGAAUAAGCGGAAAAAUAUUUCGAACCCAACCCAAAAGAAGCAUAAAUUAACAAUAAUCGAAGAACAACAAAGCAAAGGGCUCAAUAUUUUGAACAACAAAACCAAUGAAGAAAGAUGAAAACAGAAAUCAGAACGGCAGACAAUGGAACCCGAGGUAUGCGAGAGAGGAAAGAGGAAAGGAAAAGAAAUGCCUGGAACGAUUCUGCUCUCCGUUUGACAGCAAAGCAAAAGUAGCAAAGUUGAAAUAACUACAAAAAAGCCAGGGCAAAAAGGGAAGUACACUGUUAAUGAACAGUAACUUUUGUGUUGAGUUUUAGUAUGUGUAUAAUGUGUGUGUGUGUGCGUGUAUUGUUACAACUCGCUAACUUUUCUUCUGGAGACAAACGACUGAGACUCGUCUAUAUAUAUAUAUAUAUUGUUUAAAUUUUCGUACAAGCUAGUUACUAGUUGGCCACCUCUUUAACAUAUAUAUAGUCGUUUGUAUGUGUACAUAUAUGUACAUCUAUAUAUAUAUGUGUGCGUGUGUGUGUGUGUGUGUGUGUGUGUGUGUGUGUUGUUAUGAUUCGGCGCUAGCUUUUCUUGGUGUGGGGUGGAUUCGGGCUGCAGGUAGGUUGGAUCCACCUUCAUCAACUCUUUUACAAGUUGGUAUCACCUUCUUCCCCCCCCCCCCUCUGUGAUGAGCGGACCAACGGAUCCCUUCUCAGAGUGGUGUAGUUUUUUCACUCACCUUAUGUGCACCGUGGUGGCGCUGUUGUUUUGGCUAGAUUGGUCUUCGCCUUUGUGCAAUGCGUUUUGUAGUCUCGUCUGUCAACGAUGACUUGAUAUGGUCUCACUCUACCGCAAUGACUUUAUAUCGCCUCGUUAUUCAGCGAUGACCAUUGUGGCUGCCUGUAUUGCUCUGUUGCGGCUAUCGUUUAUUGUGACAGUUCUGUACUAGUGGCACUUGUGCAUUUGGCGAUUGUGUGUUCGUGCUUGUGGUAGUCUACUAGGGGUUUACUCUUAUUUGUCUGUUUGCGCAAAUUCACUCUUUAUUGGUCAUUGGAGCUAUGUACCCAAUGACACCCUUGUAUUUGUUUGUGUUGAUUAAUAAAAUACCACACUAUUAUUUCUUAAAAAAAAAAAAAAAAAGGAGGAUGAAGGUGCGGCUUGUUAAAUAUUUGAAUACGUUAUUCAUAACAACAUUGGCAAUUGGCACGACAAAACUUUAACUUGCUGUCAAGGUGGUUAUAUUAUCAAUCUUUUUGGUUUUUAAAAUUAAAUAUAUAUUUCGGUUUGUAACCGAUCCUUUCGUGUUCGGGUCGGUUUUUUUAUUUCGAUUUGGUUUUUUAUUUGGGUCAAUUUUUUUUUCGAGUUAAGUUUGAUGUCCCAUUCGAAUUUUUAGGUUUUUCAUUUUUUUGAAGGGGCUUUUAGAUCUAGUUCCAAAAAUAUAAAUGAUUUUUAGAAGUGAGUUCAAUUAUCUAAUUAUAUGUUUUCAUUUCUUUUAUACUUAUUUUAUAUUAAAAUAUUAAAAAUCAAUUAAAAUCUUCUAAUAUUAAGCAUUUUUCAACUCCAAAAAUUCUAAUUAAUAUCUUAUAACAAAAAAAAACUAAUAUAGUAACAUAAAUUAUCUACAAAACAUUCUACCUUAACUCAAGUAACAAAUAUAUGAAUGUAUAUUAUACAUGUAAGCAAGAUAUGAAACCUAACUAAAAAGUAGGAAAAAAACAUAAUAUACUUACAAGCAAGACACAUUAAGCUGUGACACGUUGAUUAUAAAAAAAGAAUCUGUCAUAUAGAUAAAUAAAAAUAAUUAAUCUAUGAUAUAGGUUGAUUAUAAAAAUUAAAAAUAAAAUCUAUAAAUGAGGUUUAAAGCAGGAGGAAGAACAAGAAAUAACAAAAAAUAAAAAUACAUAAUCAAAGAGAUAAUUAGGAAGCAAUUUGAUUUUUAUAAUAAAUAUUAUUAUUGAAUAGAUAAUUAUUGAUAAUAAAAUAAUUAAAUUUAAAGAAUUGGACUUAUUUUAAUAAAUUGGACUAUUCCUACUAUGGGCUAAAAAAAUGGGACUUAUAUCAAGUUUUCCCUUUUUUUAAACCCACCCCAUUAAGCACACUUAAGUAGAUGGAGAAAUGAUUGAUAUCUUAUUUUUGGAUAAUGAUAGGGAGAUUAAACUUUUUAAACCAAAUGAUGUGGUGAUUAAUGAUUAUAUCAUUACUUAAGCGUUGAUUAACGUAUUGAUUUAAAAUUUUAGUGUUCCUAAUAUUAUCCUUUAUUUAUAUAAAGAGCCGGACGGUCAAAUGACGUGGAAUAAGUUGUGUGUAUAAGGGUAAUUUCAUUGUUUUGUCAAAAGCGUAACCCUAAAAGGUAAAUCUCCAAACUCGUGCAAUCUCUCUGAGUCUCUUUCGCACAGACGAAGCCAUGAUCCGGGUACCCAGAGGCGACGCCAAGCGCGGAGGCGGAGGCAGAGGCAGGGCCAAUUGGCUCGCGCGAUCAGAGUCCGGGCGGGGGAAGAAUCCAGCCCAACCGGCGGAGCUCCGAGGUGAGAUCCGGAUUUGUCUUGGUGUAUAUAUAUGCGUUUGGUUUCUGUUUUAGGGUUUGUAAAUUCUGUAUAGUAACCAAAAAUGUUGCAGAUUAAUUGCUGUUAAACCCAAAAUACAAAGGUGCCCUGCUCCCUUAAUUUGACCUGUUAAUUAGCUGAGUAAAUAUAUCUAGUAUUAGUUAAUUUAUGUGCAACAAGCAGAUGAAAAGAAAGAAACAAAAGCUGUCGAAAGCUCUAUAAGUAAACUCCAACUUGAUGAUGAUACUCCUACUGCAAAGAAGAAACGUUACCGUGAGUCUAAGAAAUGCCAUUCUCAGAAUGAGCAUUGUGCAGUUUGCCUUAUGGACGGCCACCACCAAUAUCUGUGUCCCUACCGGGAAAGUGUCCCGUUGGGCGUAACUGAAGUUGGAGAGGGCUAUAUACUAAUGUGUAGGACUUGUGGUUUUGUGGGUAACGUCUGCCUUCAUGGCCGCUCUUAUGCUCGUCCCUAUAGGCGGUGUUAUGCGCGUCUGAAACAUGGGUACCCAAGCCACGAGGAAGUGGAGCAAAUCAGGGCAAGACAGAGAGAAAUGGCUGAAAUGUCCAGGGCACGAGUGGAGAGAGGUGAACCAUCCUCAUUGGAUGAUACCUCUUCCGAUUCCUCUUCUGAUACCUCUUCCGAUUCCUCUUCUGAUUCCUCUUCUGAGAUAUAAUCGUAAUGAAGCUUAGGAUUGGAACAUGCGGUGGCUGCAGCUGUUGGAUUGCCUUUUCUGUUCAUUCAUGGCGGAUAGAUACUACUUUGUUGGUUGUUUUCUCGUGUGUUUAAUUACGUUCUUGGAAUAGCUAGUUGCGCAUGUUGGUCGGAUUUCCUUUGCUUGUAGGCUUCUACUGCUUGUCUUGGAAUAACUAUGAAACGAAUCAACCGCUAUCAAAUACUAAUCUCACCAGAAUUCAUAUAAGACUAAUCCAAUAAUGCAACCACAAAGAUAUUGGAAUUAAUAUUCCUAGUAUCAAUGAAGAAAUGGGACUAAGUUGCCUAUAUGCUUGCCUAAAUUCUUCCGAAAGUUAUCUGCUUUCUAUCAAUUGUAUGCACGCAUAUGCAUAUAAAGUGUUGUAUAGCCUUUGUAAAUUAGCUUGGAGUUGUUUAAAAACUUUAGUCAUAUGAAUUGCCAAUUUAGUACAUCCAAGCAAUCAUCUAAGUGAAAUUAGGUCCUUAUACUAUUUUUUUUUCAGAAAAAUCAGUCCUUGAAUUAUAAAAAUAUGCCAAUUACAUCCCUAAUAUUAUAGUCAAAACUACUAUAUUCAAUUUUCCGUCAAUUUAAAUCAUGGUACUUGCAUGUAAUACACAUUGGAAGGUAGAUUAGUAGUUAACUUUGGAGGACAAAUUAGUAGUUUUUCAUAAGAAAUAGUGUAAGUUAACUUUGGAGAUUAAAUUAGACGUUAGAUUCGCAACCUAUAUGAAAUGUUAAGGGUUUAUAGGUGAGAAAAUAGUGGUAUUACACUUUAAGGUGUGUCAAGUGAUUUAAGUUGACAAAAAAUUGGAUAAAAUAGCUUUGAAUAGGUUUUUUAUAUUAGCACCCCACAAAAUGUUGAAUGCACCCCACAUUAAAAUUUAAUAUUAAAUAACUAUUUACUCCACUAUGUAAUGAUAAUUUUGACCUUAUUAGGUUUAAAAAAAAAAUUUAAUUCUAAAUACACCCUAAAUCACCUUUAGCGUAUUAUUUCUUUUUUUCAACUAUCAAAACCCCUCUCACCCUCCAUUGUUGAAUGAAACCCUAACCAAUGAAACUACAGACAUGUUGAUUGAGAAAAAUUAUUUUUGAUUAAUGGAACACGAAAUCGAAAUACCUUCCACAUGUAUUGAGAGAAGGUAAUUUUGAAGGUCUAAUGGAAUCAUUUGGUGCCAAUCCCCAUCAAAUUUGUUGGUUCUUUUAUGUUAUUUGUAUUAGAAAGAUGGAGACCUAGUUCUUUUCGACAAACAAAAAAAAAGAUGGAGACCUAGUUCUUCAAUAUAUGAAUGACAACAUAUGUCUGGGAAAACCCACCUUAUCAUCCCCAAGAGAAAAGUUUAGCGAUUAAGAAAGGCAACAUUUUCUGCGGCCACCCUUGAGAAAAGGGGUAGCAACUAUAGGAAUCUAUUUCAAUUGAAUGUUAGACAGCCACACGCAUGAAAUUGAGUUGCAUUUGUUCAUAUAGUAUUAAAUAUCAAUGGCUCUUAGAUGAUUUGAAAUCAUUCGGCAAACGAAAUGUUCAAAUGUUUAGAUUCAGUCCAUGAAAAUUAAAAAUGAGUGUUAUAAGAUUUGAUAAAUGUGGGGUGUAUGUAGAAAAUAUAAGAUGUAUAUUGAGAAUGUAGGGUGUGGGGGUAUUAUGGAGAAGUAUGUGGGGUGUAUUAAGAUAAUUUUUAAGUGAAAAAGCAAAUGUUGGGUGUAUUAAGUAUGUGGGGUUUAUUCAACAAUGUGUGGGGUGUUAAUAUAAUAAGCCCUUUGAAUAUAAUAGUAGGGAUCAAAUUAGCAAUUUUUAAUGAAUUUAGGGACUUAUUUUAUAAAAAAAAAAUUCAAGAACCUAAUUUUCACUGAGGUGAUAGUACUAAAUCAGCACUUCACCCUUAUUUUUAUAGAAGAAUGAACACAUGUUUCGGGUGCAAUGCAAAGUCACAACACUUUCAGCGUUCCAAAACUAAGACGUUGUCACCAACGGUUUUGUCCCAAAUGCAUGUAAUAGACGAUAUUUUCCGUUGCAAAUUUCAAUUUAUCUGUCGAUUGAUGAAUUGAUUAGUUGAAGCCAGAACUGAUUAUGAGUUGCAAUCUUCAACCGAGAUUCUUCACUUAUUUUCAUGGAGAAUCAGUGCCGGUGAAGACGUUAAGUUAUAUAUUGUCAGAUCUGUAACGAAAUGGAACGCUGAAGAUUUCACGUCAUCUGUGAAAUUCUGUUGUAUAACAUGAAGCAGUGAAAUUGAAUAUAGUUGACUAAUACUGUUGCUAAAAUGUUGUUAAUCGCAGAAACUCUAGCGUAAGUUGAUGGAAAGCAUCAACAAUCGUCUACUCUUGGGCUGUUCAUAUCAGCAUUUUUUUUUCAACUUCAACUAAGUAGAUCUCUAAUUGUUCAGUUAGUUUAUCGUACGUACUAUUAUUAUAGCUAGAUUAGCAAUCAUGUUCUCCUAGACCUCGGGUUUACAGAAAUCAUGGCCACCCACCGUUUGAUCUUAAUCCAACGGUAAUAAGGCCAAGUACUGAUGGUUGUUUGAAAUAGUACCAGGCAUGGUAUUUUAGGUUGAUUUAAAAUGCACAAAGAUUGAAACUUUAUGACAGAAUAUUGCAGAGAAAAGAAUGAGCUUAGAGAAUAGAGAAUGUUCAGAGUUCUUGAUUGAAAUCGAAGAGGGAAUUUACAAGCCUAUAUCACUAAAUCAGUCAAAUGCUCAGAUCCUAUAUUUUAGGGAGCAAGGACUGAUCUCUAGCCAUUCAGGCCAUCGGAGGCUACGAUCCUUCCACUUGGGAGAGGAUCGAAUUGAUAAAGUUUGUUUGUUUUGUGUUUUGAUUGAGUGUUUGAACCGGUUUCUUUUUAUUAGAAUGACAGAGAAUGGAGAGAGCUUGGAGGUUGGAUAUUGGCUGUGCUAAAGAAUGUAGCAGCCCUGAUUGAUUAAGUAAGGUGAGAUUUUACAAGGGUAUGGUGCAUUGCCAUCACCCAUACUUGUUAAAAAAAAAAUGAUUGACAAGAGACUUUAACAACCAUUUAAGCCUUACUACUCCAAAUUACAUCAUAACCCUUCAUUUGGGGGUUAAGUGAUUUAAUCUGGAGUGUACACUUGUCACUCACACACUUACACCCACAUUUAAACAAAAUAGUCGUUGGAGACUAAAACCCUUCAUCUUAUUUCUUCUUCUUCGAUGCAGACAACACCCUUUGCUCGGGAGCCCCUUGCUGCCUUCGACCCCUCGACUCCAGGAGUUGGUUAGCUUCCAACUCCCUUCUAAACUGCUUCUGGGAGUCAAUCCGAGCAAACCCCUCAGGUAAUUGAAUCUCUCAUUCGGUAGUGCUUUUGUGAAUAUGUCUGCGAUCUGAUCUUCUGUGCUGCAAUAGAUUAGCGGUGUUGUCCUACAAUGCUUCUCUGAUGAAAUGAUAUCUUCUCUUGAUGUGUUUUGUUCUCUGAUGAAAUACUGGGUUUUUAGUCAUGGCAAUUGCAAAGGUGUUGUCACACAAAAGUGGUGUGGCUUCAACCUGCAAUUCGCCAAAAUCUUCAAUUAUGAACCUUAGCCAAAUAGCUUGAGCUGUAGCUUCUGAUGCACUCACAUACUCUGCCUCGGCUGUGGACAGUGCAACACUUUGUUGCUUCACAGAGGCCCAUGAAAAUACCCCUGAUCUGAAAGUGAAAGCAUAGCCAGAUGUGUUUCUGCUAUCAUCUUCACUGCCACUCCAGUCACUAUCACAAAAUCCAAUUAGGAUAGAUGACCUUCCCAUCUCAUAGUUGAUCCCAUAAUCAAGGGUUCCUUGUACAUAUCUUAGUACUCUCUUAGCUGUGCCCAUAUGUAUCUUGCUAGGAUUCUGCAUAAACCUAGAAAGUAGGCUUGCUGAGAACAUUAGAUCCGGCCUUGUUGCAGUUAGAUACAAUAGACUGCCAACAAUACUUUUAUAGAGACUAGCAUCUGCAGGUUCACUUCCAUCCUCCUUCUUAAGCUUCUCAUUUACAAUUAGGGGUGUAAAGACUGGUUUGCAACCCUUCAAACCAAACUUCUCAAGCAAAGUUUCAACAUACUUCUUUUGAUGAAUAAAGAUGCUACUUGCUUCUUGAAUUACCCCAAUACCAAGAAAAUGAUGCAAGAGGCCUAGGUCAGUCAUUUCAUACCUCUUCAUCAUUUCUUCCUUGAACUCUUCAAUCAUUUCAGCAUCAUUUCUAGUGUAGACAACAUCAUCCACAUAGAUUGAGACAAUGAGUGUCUUGUUGUUGCUUUCUGUCUUGGUGUAGAGUAUAGCUUCACUAGGACUUUUCUAAAAUCCUUUCUCAGUGAAAUAGGAAUCAAUCUCACUGUACCAAGCUCUUGGAGCUUGUUUUAGGCCAUAAAGAGCCUUCCUUAACUUGUACACUUUUUCUGGAAACUCUUGACUUGUGAACUUUUAAGGUUGUUCCACAAACACCUCCUCCUCUAGCACUCCAUUUAGAAAUGCAGAUUUAACAUCCAAUUGAUGCAACUUCCAACCCUUCUUGGCAGCUAGGGCUAUCAAGGUCCUUAUGGUGUCUAACCUUGCUACUGGAGCAAAGGUUUCAUUGAAGACUACACCAGGCUUCUGUGAGUAACCUUUGGCCACUAACCUGGCCUUGUUCUUUUGCACAGAACCAUCCAGAUUUAGCUUCACUUUGUACUCCCAUUUUACACCAAUCACAGGCUUGUCACUUGGUCGAUUUACAAGUUCCCAAGUGUCAUUCUUUUCUAUCAUUUCAAGCUCUUCCUUAAUUGCUUUCUUCCAAGCUUUGUCUUUCUCAACUUCUUCAUAUGUUUCUGGUUCUACUACACAAUAAUUACAUUUAGCAUAAAUCUCAUCCAGGUUUCUCAAUCUUACUGGAGUUAAAUUAGGAGUUGUUGUCUGUGAUUGACUUGAUUGUGGACUCAUAGUAGCUUGUUGUGGAGUCCCUUGUAUGUCAGCAUUAUCUGUGACUUCUUCUUAAACUGAGGUCUCCAUAGGCUCCCUUGUUUGCCUUUUGUUUAGGUCAAUUUGUAGAGAGACGCUGUCCUUUUCCUCUACCAUUAUAUCCCAGUUCCACAUUGAGUCUUCAUCAAAUAUAACAUCCCUUAAUAGGAUUAUCUUCUUAGUCAACACAUUAUAAACUCUGUAUCCUUUCUCACUGGUACCAUAGCCUACAAAAACACCCUUGUUAAUUGAUUUCUCCAACUUGUGUCUUAGUUGGUGAGGGAUGAGAGUGUAGUACACUGAGCUAAACACUCUCAGAUGCUUCACAGAAGGCUUCCUUCCACUGAACACUUCAAAUGGAGUCUUAUUCUCCAAUGCUUUAGUAGGACACCUAUUUAAUAGGUACACUGAGGUGUUCACAGCUUCACCCCAAAAUUUAUAAGGCAUGUUCUUCUCAUGCAUCAUAGACUUAGCUAUUUCGACUAUAGUCCUAUUCUUCCUUUCUGCAAUCCCAUUAUGUUGUGGUGAAUAUGCCACAGUGAGUUGCUUCUCCAACCCCACAUCUUCACAGAAUGCAUUGAACUCAUAUGAGGUGUACUCACCUCCCCUAACACUUCUUAGUCUUUUGAUUUGGUAUCCACUUUGCAAUUCCACCAUUGCCUUGAACUUCUUGAAUAUUGUGAAUACCUCAGACUUGAACCUCAUGAAAUACACCCAACACAUCCGUGAAUAGUCAUUAAUGAAAGUUAGGAAAUACCUGUUUCCACUGAUUGUUGUUGUUUUCAUUGGUCCACACACAUCUGAGUGAAUCAAUUCGAGUGGCUUUGUUGCCCUCCAAGCCUUUCCAGCUUCAAAUGAAUCUCUAUGAUGUCUGCCAAACACACACCCUUCACAGGUUUCAUUGCACUGAUCCACCUUUGGUAUACCUUGCACCAUUUCAUCCUUUUGCAGAUUUUGUAAGCUUGUCAUGUUUAAAUGACCGAGUCUCUUGUGCCAUAGCUUCAUAGAACUUGUCACACUUGCUUUCUUUGCCACUUCUUCUAAGUACUUCAGCACAAGUGGAAAGCUUCUGUUUUUCACUUCCACUUUGGUCACUAAGUUUGAUAGGGAUCUGUCAUCAUAGAUCUCAACCAUAGUUCCCCCAAAGAGUAGAAAAUAGCCAUGCUCCAUCAUUUGACCCACACUAAGUAGAUUCUCAUCCAAUCCAUGCACUAGCAUCACCUCCCUUAUGCAUCUUCUUCCUUUCUUGGUGUUGAUAAUCAGAGUUCCUCUUCCAGUGGCUUUAACAAUGUUUCCAUCACCCAUUUUCACUUUUCCAAUGAAGUUUGUGUCGAUGUCAAUGAGUAAUGACUCAUGUGCAGUCAUGUGGUUACUGCAGCCACUAUCAAUGUACCACACUUCAUUGUUUCUCUCCACUUUUGCAUUGAAAGCAAAGAACACAUUUGCUUCUUCUUCCACUUGAUUUGCACAGUUCACUUGUUACACAUUCUUUGAUCUGCAGUCCUUCAUAAUGUGCCCAAACCUGUUGCAUUUGUGACAUCUAGGCUUGUCCUUGAACCAACACUCCCCAAGAUGGAAUUUAUCACAGUGCUUGCAUUGUUGCUUGGUUCUUGGACCUGCAUUGAUGUUGCUGCCUUGGUUAGGUCUUGAGUUGUGAUACCCUUUUCCUUCCCAUUCUUGUUCUUGCCCUUCCACUGUGGUUUUUGAUUGCUUGCACUAGCUUGACUACUAGAUCCAACAUUGAGUAAUUGAAAGGCUUUCUCAGGUGCAGAGUCAGCAUGCUGAUGAGUAGAUUUUAUAUUAUAUAUUUUACCCUAAUCUUAGUAUAUUUUGGUUAAUAUAUUGGAAGAAUUUUGAUACUUUGAAUUGUAUUUUCAAUAUAGAACUUUCGACUUCCUCUGGAGAAAAACAGGACCAAAUGGACGAAUUUUGGAGUAAUUCCAAUUGGAGGACGUUCGUGAGUCACUUAGCUUGAUCGUAUCAAAAUUUGGGAUUUUUUCACCAAGCGGUUAGUUUCUGGCGAUGAAAUAAAGAAGCAGUGCGCAGUGCUGGAAAAUGACGUUUUUUGGCUUAAAUGACGUUUUUGGAGCCCAAGAUGACCUCGGAUGGGUUCGUGGCCUUCUGGAAAAGUGUUCAGAAUAUUCCAAACAUCAAAUCCAGCUAUAUUGGGCCAGUUUUGGAGCAGCUUAUGGGCCAAAACGUGGCUGUUCAGAUUUUAGACGAAUUUUAUCAUUUAAUUUAGGGUUAUGUUUCCUAGGGUUUGUGGAGAGGCUUGGCAGAUAUAUUGCUUGGCCGUCUACAAUUUUUCUACGUUUUCUUUUAUGCAAUUUUGGAGAGAGAGAAGUGCUAGGGUUUUGAAGAUUUUCUACUUGAAGGUGUUAUCAAUCCUUUUCUCGAAUAUAUUUUCUAUGAUUUCAAUUAUGAAUAUGCGGAACUAAUUUCUUUUGCUAGGGCGAAGCCUUGAGCCUUAGCAUGAAUAUGUUAUUUUUAUUUAAUUGCUUAUGAUUGAUUGCAUGCAUAUUUUGAAUUGUUAAUCACCGGGAUAAAAACUAUCUAAUUGUCUUAAUGCCUGAUCACCAUUAGGAUCUUUAGAAAAGUAAUUUGAUGCAAUUUUGGUCGGAAGGUUCCCUGAAAUUGACGCUGGCUUCUUGUGAUUAAUAAUUGUAAUUUCUCUUAGGAUGAAUAUCACGUCUUAAGGAUUGCAUGGUUUUUCAAAGGAUUUUCAUAAAGCAUAAUGAGUCUUUCAUGUUCAGAUUUGAUCCGAAUGUCCGGACGGGUUGCAUGUUAGAUAUACGUUCUAUGUUGGAGGUUCCAAGUAGAAUAUGAAUUAGGAAAAUCUAACCUUCAAAGUGGCAUGUGUAGAUCAUAAGUAAUUGGUAAAAAUUCAUAGGAUUGCUAGGUGAUGGUGGAACCCUAGUGCUUUCUUAAUUUUAUUCUCCCAAAACUGUUUUCUUUCUCUCUAGCUCUAAUAUUGCAGAUUGUUUAUUUUAAUUCAUUAAUUUCGUUUUUAUUUUAAUUAGGUUUUAAAAUCAAUCACUUCAAUUUCUACUUUACAAUAAUUAAAUGGAAUCUGAUUAGUUCGAAUUAUUUAAUAAUCCCUGUGGAGAUGACCUUGCGAAAUCCGUUUAUACUACAACAACCUUGUGAUUCUUGCAAGUAAAAUAGGAGAUUUAAGCCCGUUCACAUGAGUAGUAAAAAUCCCUAUCACAUGCCUCUCGAGUCUUUGAUCAAAAGCUCUUAAGGAUGCCAUUACAUCUUGUACACUGAGAGUUUCAGUGUCUUUGGUUUCUUCUAUAACACUCAUUAUUGAAUCAUAGGGUUUAUUCAAACUAAUCAAUAGUUUUUGGACAAUUCUUUCAUUAGGCAGUUCCUCACCAUAUGUUUUCAUCUUGUUUACAACAUCAAACAGUCUAGUGAAGUAGUCUUUUAACAGCUCAUUUUCCCUCAUUCUUGUAUACUCAAAAUCUCUUCUAAGGGACUGAAGUUUUACCUUUCUAACGUUAGUGUCUCCUCUGUACUCUUGCUGUAAAACUUCCCGAGCUCCUUUUGCAGUCUCUUCAUUUGCUAUCCUCGGAAAAAUGGUGUCUGAGACAGCCCCAUCCGAUUCUGCUUCAGUGUUUUGAGUUGUGUUUCUGUGAGAUCCUUCUCUAGAGCAUCGAUCUCCAAGUGCUCUAGCAUCCUCCAUCCGAUUCUGCUUCAGUGUUUUGAGUUGUGUUUAUGUGAGAUCCUUCUCUAGAGCAUCGAUCUCCAUCUCAGGUAGUUCAUACCCGUGUUGAACCAUAUCCCACAGAUCAUAGGAUUUGAAAAUGGUUGUCAUUCUUAUUCUCCAAAAAUCAUAAUUCUCCCCAUCAAAGACUGGAGCUUUUAGCUCACUGCUACUGUUGGAUCCCUUCAUUUUAGGGUAGUUUGUUGAUUGUUGUUGUAGAAGACACUACGUUGGUGCUUCCGGAAAUCUCUAUUUGCACAGAUUACGCCUAGACUUCUCUUUUUUUUUUUUAGAUCAGUAACAAAGCUCUGAUACCAUGAUAAAGUUUGUUUGUUUUGUGUUUUGAUUGAGUGUUUGAACCGGUUUCUUUUUAUUAGAAUGACAGAGAAUGGAGAGAGCUUAGAGGUUGGAUACUGGCUGUACUAAAGAAUGCAGCAGCCCUGAUUGAUUAAGUAAGGUGAGAUUUUACAAGGGUAUGGUGCAUUGCCAUCACCCAUACUUGUUAAAAAAAAUGAUUGACAAGAGACUUUAACAACCAUUUAAGCCUUACUACUCCAGAUUACAUCUUAACCCUUCAUUUGGGGGUUAAGUGAUUUAAUCUGGAGUGUACACUUGUCACUCACACACUUACACCCACAUUUAAACAAAAUAGUCGUUGGAGACUAAAACCCUUCAUCUUCUUUCUUCUUCUUCGAUGCAGACAACACCCUUUGCUAGGGAGCCCUUUGCUACCUUCGACCCCUCGACUCCAGGAGCUGGUUAGCUUCCAACACGAAUAACACAGUACAACCUAGACAGAUAAGAAUAACAGUUGUACAGGUUUCUAAUAAUAGAAAGUAAACUAGCCGUUACAUAUUUGAAUCUAACGGCUACUUGCUAAAAAUAGCAAGUUCUUCAUCUCUUCGAUUUCAAUAUUCUCUUCAGCUUCUUUCUGCAGGAUUGUCAUCUGCAGAUCGAUAUUAAGCUAGUAUGCAGCUUAAAUCUCAACAAUGGCACAAUACAUUUUUUUCUUCCAAAAUUUUGAGCCUGCUAGAGUGACUCGAAUAGGAGAAACCCUCAAAGUUUGAGCGUACCACAAAUUAGCAUCAGGUUUUUCCAGCUUCCGUUUUAACGUAACUCUGCCACAGAAAGUAGCUAGUGAAUGGAGCUGAAGCGCACAAGGAACGUGUAAUAGCAGCAAAACAGAAGGCCAACUCUAAAUCCUAGAAGAGGCGGGACUUGCAUUGGAAGCAACUGCGGCAGCAAGCCUCAAGAGGCAACAAUUUUGGCAGCUGACUAAGCAGUUGAGAUGUUUUCUUAGAUUAAGCUGCAACCAUCCGUAAAUGCAGAUUUCGCAUCCAACAAUGCUCAGUUCAUAUCUUAGCUACUGUUUUAUUUAUGAUUUCUCUUGCUUUUCUCUAAUAUUUAGUUAACCUAGCUUGUUUCAACAAGAUUUAGAACGGCGUUCUAUUUGUUUUAAUUUGUUUUAAUUUUCGUGAAGGCUAGUUACUAGAUGGCCACCUCUUUAACAUAUAUAGUCGUUUGUAUAUGUAUAUAUAUGUACAUCUAUAUAUAUAUGUGUGUGUGUAUUGUUACGAUUCGCUAACUUUUCUUCUGGAGACAAACGACUCAGACUAGGCUAGAUUUUUUGGGGGUAUGUAAAUUUUGCUAAUUUAAGAAUAACAAGUAGGUGGUAGUUACAACUGCAUGCUCCAAUGCAACAAAGGAGUAUUUGGGGAGGCACAAAGACAAGAUGGUUAGGGAAUUUGGUUAUAGGGGUCUUUUGAUAUGGGUCCAAUUGGACUAAAAAUUGGACCUAUUUCAAAAAUCAAAAGUCACUAAAAAUUGAUAUGGGUUUUGUUUAAACCCACCCCGUUAAGCACACUUAAGUAGAUGGAGAAAUGAUUGAUACCUUAUUUUUGGUAAUGAUAGUAAGAUUAAAUUUUUUAAACCAAAUGAUAUGGUGGUUAAUGAUUAUGACAUUACUUAAGCGUUGAUUAACGUAUUGAUUUAAAAUUUUUGUGUUUCUAACAUUAUCCUUUAUUUAUAUAAAGAGCCGGACGGUCAAAUGACGUGGAAUAAGUUGGUGGUGUGUAUAAGGGUAAUUUCAUUGUUUUGUCAAAAGCGUAACCCUAAAAGGUAAAUCUCCAAACUCGUGCAAUCUCUCUGAGUCUCUCUCGCACAGACGAAGCCAUGAUCCGGGUACCCAGAGACGACGCCAAGUGCGGAGGCGGAGGCGGAGGCAGGGCCAAUUGGCUCGCGCGAUCAGAGUCCGGGCGGGGGAAGAAUCCAGCCCAACUGGCGGAGCUCCGAGGUGAGAUCCGGAUUUGUCUUGGUGUAUAUAUAUGCGUUUGGUUUCUGUUUUAGGGUUUGUAAAUUCUGCAUAUUAACCAAAAAUGUUGCAGCUUAAUUGCUGUUAAACCCAAAAUAUAUGCGUUUGACGAAACAUAUCAAACAAAAAUUUGCUGUUUUUCGUCACUGUGCGAGAAUUACCCUUAAAUUAAUUACAUGCCUAGUUUUUUGUUUCGAUAGAAUUCCCUUUUUAUAUUGAAAAUAUGUAUCUAUUUUUGGUGGCUCUCUUAAUUUGACCUGUUAAUUAGCUGAGUAAAUAUAUCUAGUAUUAAUUAAUUUAUGUGCAACAAACAGAUGAGAAGAAAGAAACGAAAGCUGUCGAAAGCUCUAUGAGUAAACUCCAACUUGAUGAUGAUACUCCUACUGCAAAGAAGAAACGUUACCGUGAGUCUAAGAAAUGCCAUUCUCAGAAUGAGCAUUGUGCAGUUUGCCUUAUGGACGGCCACCACCAAUAUCUGUGUCCCUACCGGGAAAGUGUCCCGUUGGGCGUAACUAAAGUUGGAGAGGGCUAUAUACUAAUGUGUAGGACUUGUGGUUUUGUGGGUAACGUCUGCCUUCAUGGCCGCUCUUAUGCUCGUCCCUAUAGGCGGUGUUAUGCGCGUCUGAAACAUGGGUACCCAAUCCACGAGGAAGUGGAGCAAAUCAGGGCAAGACAGAGAGAAAUGGCUGAAAUGUCCAGGGCACGAGUGGAGAGAGGUGAACCAUCCUCAUUGGAUGAUACCUCUUCCGAUUCCUCUUCUGAUACCUCUUCCGAUUCCUCUUCUGAUUCCUCUUCUGAGAUAUAAUCGUAAUGAAGCUUAGGAUUGGAACAUGCGGUGGCUGCAGCUGUUGGAUUGCCUUUUCUGUUCAUUCAUGGCGGAUAGAUACUACUUUGUUGGUUGUUUUCUCGCGUGUUUAAUUACGUUCUUGGAAUAGCUAGUUGCGCAUGUUGGUCGGAUUUCCUUUGCUUGUAGGCUUCUACUGCUUGUCUUGGAAUAACUUUGAAACGAAUCAACCGCUAUCAAAUACUAAUCUCACCAGAAUUCAUAUAACGUAGAAUCUCACCGGAAGACUAAUCCAAUACUGCAACCACAAAGAUAUUGGAAUUAAUAUUCCUAGUAUCAAUGAAGAAAUGGGACUAAGUUGCCUAUAUGCUUGCCUAAAUUCUUCCGAAAGUUAUCUGCUUUCUAUCAAUUGUAUGCACGCAUAUGCAUAUAAAGUGUUGUAUAGCCUUUGUAAAUUAGCUUGGAGUUGUUUAAAAACUUCAGUCUUAUGAAUUGCCAAUUUAAUUAGUACAUCCAAGCAAUCAUCUAAGUGAAAAUUAGGUCCUUAAACUAUUUUUUUUUUCAGAAAAAUGAAUUAUAAAAAUAUGCCAAUUGCAUCCCUAAUAUUAUAGUCAAAACUACUAUAUUCAAUUUUCCGUCAAUUUAAGUCACGGUACUUGCAUGUAAUACAUAUUGGAAGGUAGAUUAGUAGUUAACUUUGGAGGAUAAAUUAGUAGUUUUUCAUAAGAAAUAGUGUAAGUUAACUUUGGAGAUUAAAUUAGACGUUAGAUUCGCAAUCUAUAUUAAAUGUUAAGGGUUUAUAGGCGAGAAAAUGACGAUAUUACACUUUUAAGGUGUAUCAAGUGAUUUAAGUUGAUGAAAAAUUGGAUAAAAUAGCUUUGAAUAUAAUAGUAGGGAUCAAAUUAGCAAUUUUUAAUGAAUUUAGGGACUUAUUUUAUUAAAAAAAAUUCAGGGACCUAAUUUUCACUGAAAUAAUAGUAUUAAAUCAGCACUUCACCAUUAUUUUUAUAGAAGAAUGAACACAUGUUUCGGGUGCAAUGCAAAGUCACAACACUUUCAACGUUCCAGAACUAGGACGUUGUCCCAAUGGUUUUGCCCCAAAUGCAUGUAAUAGACGAUAUUUUCCGUUGCAAAUUUCAAUUUAUCUGUCGAUUGAUGAAUUGAUUAAUUGAAGCCAGGACUGAUUAUGAGUUGCAAUCUUCAACCGAGAUUCUUCACUUAUUUCCAUGGAGAAUCAGUGCCGGUGAAGACGUUAAGUUAUAUAUUGUCAGAUCUGUAACGGAAUGGAACGCUGAAGAUUUCACGUCAUCUGUGAAAUUCUGUUGUAUAACAUGAAGCAGUAAAAUUGAAUAUGGUUGACUAAUACUGUUGCUAAAAUGUUGUUAAUCGCAGAAACUCUAGCGUAAGUUGAUGGAAAGCAUCAACGAUCGUAUACUCUUGGGCUGUUCAUAUCAGCAUUUUUUUUCAACUUCAACUAAGUAGAUCUCUAAUUGUUCAGUUAGUUUAUCGUACGUACUAUUAUUAUAGCUAGAUUAGCAGUCAUGAACCUAGACCUCGGGUUUACAGAAAUCAUGGCCACCCACCGUUUGAUCUUAAUCCAACGGUAGUAAGGCCAAGUACUGAUGGCACAGUACAUUUUUUCUUCCAAAAUUUUGAGCCUGCUAGAGUGACUCGAAUAGGAGAAACCCUCCAAGUCUGAGAGUACCACAAAAUUAGCAUCAGGUUUUUCCAGCUUCCGUUUUAACGUCACUCUGCCAUAGAAAGUAGCUAGUGAAUGGAGUUGAAGCGCACAAGGAACGUGUACUAGCAGCAAAACAGAAGGCCAACCCUAAAUCCUAGAAGAGGCGGGACUUGCAUUGGAAGCAACUGCGGCAGCAAGCCUCAAGAGGCAACAAUUUUGGCAGCUGACUAAGCAGUUGAGAUGUUUUCUUAGAUUAAGCUGCAACCAUCCGUAAAUGCAGAUUUCGCUUCCAACAAUGCUCAGGUCAUAUCUUAGCUGCUGUUUUAUUUAUGAUUUCUCUUGCCUUUCUCUAAUUUUUAGUUAACCUAGCUUGUUUCAACAAGAUUUAGAACGGCCUUCUAUUUGUUUUAAUUUUUUUAAAUUUUCGUGAAGGCUAGUUACUAGAUGGCCACCUCUUUAACAUAUAUAUAGUCGUUUGUAUAUGUACAUAUAUGUACAUCUAUAUAUAUAUAUAUGUGUGUGUGUGUGUGUAUUGUUACGAUUCGCUAACUUUUCUUCUAGAGAUAAAUAACUCAGACUCGUCUAGAUUUUUUUGGGGCAUGUAAAUUUUGCUAAUUUAGGAAUAACAAGUAGGUGGUAGUUACAACUGCAUGCUCCAAUGCAACAAAGGAGUAUUUGGGGAGGCACAAAGACAAGAUGGUUAGAGAAUUUGGUUAUACUAUCGUUCCCUCCACACAUUCUUAUCUCCCUAGCUCUAGAAUAUUUAAGAGAGAGAGAGAGAGAGAGAGUUGAUGAGAAUAUAGCACAGCUUCAGUGCCAAGACGUUGCCAAGGAGAGCGUACGACAGUGGUUCUCCGUCAGGGAUUUGUUUCGUUCAGAGCCGGAGACAUUUCUACGUAAGCAUGCAGGUUAGAGUUUGAUGGAGAGUUGAAUUAAUUCACAGAAGGUGAGAAAUGGGAAGAGGUCAAACACAAAAGAAGGCGGGGGAGGUGGUGGCUGUAGCAAUAGACAAUGACAAGGGCAGCCAACAUGCUCUCAAAUGGACUAUUGAUAGUCUUGUCACCAGAGGUCAAGCUCUCACGCUGCUCCAAGUUAGACAAAUAACCGCAAUUCCCACGCAAAGUACAUUCUCUCUCUCUGUAUGUGUGUGUGUGUGUGUAAAUGCAUGAAUGCAUAAGAUGCUGAUGAUGAUCGUAAUUUACUAAUGUACGUCACCAGCCACAAAGGAGGUUGAAAAGGCUCAAGCCAAAGAGUUGUUUCAACCAUUCCGCUGCUUUUGCACGAAAAAACUUGUGAGUAAUGCUUCUUCCCUUCAUAAAAGUGAUAGUGCAUUGCCUAUCCCGCUCCAUGAACAGUUGAGCGGAAUCCCUCGUUUCGCAACGUGAUUUGUAGUUGUACUGCUUAUUUGAUUUUUGCAACAGCUAAAAUGCAAUGAAGUCAUGAUCGAGGAUAAAAACAUAGCAAAAGCACUGGUAAACUAUGUUGUCAAUAAUUCAAUCGACAUUUUGGUACUUGGUGCGCCGUCGAGAAGCGGCCUUCUCAGGUACUGAUUUCUUCUCCAAGUUAUAUCUCAGUUCAUAUGCACCAACACUGUAAAAUUCAUCAGAAAAAUAGUAUCAAAGAGAACAAGCAUCAAUCGUAAAAUGUAUAAAUCAUUCAUUUAUUUGAAUGGAACUAUAACUGUAGGUAGUUAAGUAUUACAUCUUUAAAAUCCAAUGAACUAAGAAAACUUUCAUACAUCUGUCUCAACUAAUACCAGCUUACAUACGCCGAAAAUUUGAUGGUUUGAGAAAUCAUUUAUUCAAGAUCUGGUUCCGCACGUUGUAGUCUUACCUCAGUUUUUUCUUCUCGGAAGCCAUCAAUUACGCAUGCAUCAUAAUUAUAUCAAUCUCGUCACAGAUUCAAAACAACGGACGUUCCAAACAGUCUCAAAAGAGGCACCGAGUUUCUGCACUGUGUAUGUCGUUGGCGAGGGAAAGAUAUCAUAUAUGCGAGCUGUUACCACUUCACUGUCCCAGAAAGCUUACUUGCCUAAUCAAAAACGGCACCAAACAAACAAAGCUUCUGACACAAAUGAUACGCAAUUCAGCCACAACCAGCAAUGCAGAGGUUGGCCAGAUUCGGUUUUUUCUUUCUUUUUUUUUUAGGUCGAAAGUUCAGAUUAUGUUCUAGCAUCUGUUAUUUCCCACCUCACGUCUGGUUUCUUGUCAUUACUCAAACAAGUUUCUGUGACCAAUACAGCAUGGGAGAGGACGCAGUAUCCACCACAAAGCCAGCAAUAAGGAGCAUGCCUCCAACUACAAACUUGACAGCAGAAACUAAUAUACCACAAAUGAUUAUCCGAGCCAGUUCUGGUGUCCCAAUAUCAUUCCUUCAAUAAUUGAUACCUAAUUAGUACAAGACUCCCCAGCAGGAUAUUAUGCUCACAUAUAUAAAUGUAGAGUUGAUGUUUAAAUAGUCUUAAGGCUCCACAACAACAGGAUGUUUUUGCCAGAAAUUAUACCGAGGAAAUUAUUUAUAUGUACGUAGCAUCAACUUCCCAACAAUUUAGGCUUCUUGUGAAAGUAGAAAAGCUAACAGUUUCAUCUGUUAAUUUAAGAAGGUACUUUUCAAGCCAAUGAAACUAUAAAGAAAACCCAAGCCCGGAUAAAGGAGGAGGGGGAGGGCGUCAGGUAGUCGACAGCCGGCACUCCAUGAUCACGUCGAAACCUUAUGAAAAUGAAUCCAGAACAAAAUCGCGCUAAAGCUAGGGCGUCACCCGUAAGUGGCGCGCUGUGUGGCCCGAGCACAGUGAUAAGUGAGCAAGGGUCGCUGUAUCUCCAUCGGCACCCGGAUGCAGUGUUAAAUGAGCAAGGGGGCCAUAGAAACUUCUUUUCGAACGACUCCACUCAAAGUUGUUUGGGAGCAUAUGCUCCUAUCAACUUUACCCGGGACACACAAAAGAAGUACUUUGAUCCUAUUAGACGGGGGAGGGUGAAGAAGCUAGGACAGAAGGGUAGAGUUCAAGAGAGCAAAAUGCGUUUAGGAACGUGGAAUAUAGGAACCUUAACGGGAAAAUCUAUGGAAGUAGUGGAAGUUAUGGUGAGGAGAAGGAUCAAUAUUAUGUGCCUACAAGAAACUAAGUGGGUUGGUAGUAAGGCAAAGGAUCUAGAAAACUCAGGGUUUAAACUUUGGUAUUUGGGCACAAAUAGAACGAGAAACGGUGUUGGCAUCAUCGUGGACAAGACCUUGGUACAGGAUGUUGUAGAUGUCAAGAGGGUAGGAGAUAGAAUCAUGGCAAUCAAGAUUGUAAUAGGACAAGAACUUAUCAAUGUGAUUAGUGCGUACGCACCUCAAGUAGGGUUGGAUACGAGUUCGAAGGAGAAAUUUUGGGAAGAUCUUGGAGACUUGGUGCAAGGAAUUGCUCAGACGGAGAAGUUAUUUAUAGGAGGAGAUUUAAAUGGACACGUGGGGCAGGGAGACAGGCAACUAUGGAGGUUUUCAUGGUGGCCAUGGUUUUGGGGAGAGAAACGAGGAUGGGGAAGCUAUCUUGGAUUUUGCAAUGGCAUAUGAUCUCUUCUUAGCCAAUACCUUCUUUAAGAAGAGAGAAGAACAUGUGAUCACCUACAAGAGUAGGUCGUCAAAAACACAAAUAGAUUUUCUUCUAAUGAGGAAAGGGGAUCGUAUAAACUUGUAAGGAUUGCAAAGUUAUACCAGGAGAGAGCGUGGCUAAUCAACAUCGCUUGUUGGUGAUGGAUGUACAUAUCAAAAGAGUGAGACAAAAGAACAAGACUUGGAAGUGCCCAAGGAUUAGAUGGUGGAAUCUAAAAGAAGAAAAACAAGCCAUUUUCAAAGAGAAAGUAAUCACCCAGUGUGUGUGGGAUAGAGAGGGGGAAGCUAGCCAAAUGUGGGAUUCCAUGGCUAGUUGUAUCCGAAAAGUAGCAAAAGAGGUAUUAGGAGAGUCCAAGGGCUUUGCCCCACACCAAAAAGGAAUCUUGGUGGUGGAAUGAGGAGGUACAAACAAAGGUGAAGGCUAAGAAGGAAUGUUGUAAAGCCUUAUACAAGGAUAGGACUGAUGAAAAUGGUGAAAGGUAUAGAAAAGCGAAGCAAGAGGCGAAGAAAGCUGUGAGAAAAGCUAAGUUAGCGGCUUACGACGAUAUGUAUAAACGACUAGAUACCAAAGAAGGAGAGUUGGAUAUCUAUAAACUAGCUAGAGCAAGGGAAAAGAAGACAAGGGACCUAAACCAAGUGAGGUGCAUCAAGGAUGAGGAUGGAAAGGUUCUUGCUACAGAGAACGCGGUUAAAGACAGAUGGAGAGGUUAUUUUCAUAAUCUUUUCAAUGAAGGACAUGAAAGGAGUGCUUCUUUAGGGGAGUUGAGUAACUCAGAAGAGUGUAGAAACUACUCUUUUUAUCGUCGAAUCCGGAAGGAAGAAGUGGUUGUAGCUUUGAAGAAGAUGAAGCAUAGAAAAGCAAUAGGCCCAGACGAUAUACCAAUCGAAGUGUGGAAAGUUUUGGGAGAGACAGGGAUAACAUGGCUCACUGACCUUUUCAAUAGGAUUUUGAAAACGAAGAAGAUGCCAAAUGAGUGGCGAACGAGCACUUUGGUGCCUAUCUACAAGAAUAAGGGCGACGUACAAAAUUGCAUGAACUAUAGGGGUAUUAAGCUAAUGAGUCAUACAAUGAAGCUCUGGGAGAGAGUCAUUGAGCAUAGAUUGAGGCAAGAGACACGGGUUUCGGACAACCAAUUCGGGUUCAUGCCAGGGCGCUCAACCAUGGAGGCAAUCUAUCUCUUACGAAGAUUGAUGGAAAGAUAUAGAGAUGGGAAAAAGGAUUUACACAUGGUCUUUAUAGAUUUGGAGAAAGCGUACGAUAGGGUCCCAAGAGACAUUCUUUGGAGGAUUUUAGAGAAGAAAGGAGUACGAGUAGCAUAUAUCCAAGCUAUAAAGGAUAUGUAUGAAGGAGCAAAGACUGCCGUAAGAACUCAUGAAGGACAAACUGAAAGCUUUCCCAUAACUGUAGGAUUACAUCAAGGCUCAUCCUUAAGUCCCUACCUUUUUGCGUUGGUAAUGGAUGAGUUAACAAGACAUAUUCAAUAUGAUAUUCCUUGGUGUAUGCUUUUCGCAGACGAUAUAGUGUUGAUAGAUGAAACUCAGGAAGGGGUAAAUGCAAAGCUUAACCUUUGGAGAGAAGUGUUGGAAUCAUCAAAGACAGAAUAUAUGGAGUGCAAGUUCAGUGCAAAUGGAGGCCAAAACGAGUUAGGGGUGAGGAUCGGUGAUCAAGAAAUACCAAAGAGCGAUCGUUUUCGUUGCCUAGGAUCUAUCUUGCAAAAGAACGGAGAAUUAGAUGGAGAUCUCAACCAUAGAAUACAAGCUGGAUGGAUGAAGUGGAAGAGUGCAUCCGGCGUGUUGUGUGACCGUCGCAUGCCACUGAAGCUCAAGGGAAAAUUUUAUAGGACGGCAAUAAGGCCGGCGAUGCUGUAUGGCACAGAAUGUUGGGCGGUGAAGCAUCAACACGUACACAAAAUGGGUGUAGCGGAGAUGAGGAUGCUUCGUUGGAUGUGUGGGCACACGAGAAAGGAUAAGAUUAGGAAUGAGGAUAUCCGGGGUAAAGUAGGAGUAGCCGAAAUUGAAGGAAAGAUGAGAGAAAAUCGGUUACGAUGGUUUGGACAUGUGCAAAGAAGGCCUACUGAUGCUCCGAUUAGAAGAUGCGACUAUGGGACAGAGGUUCAGGGCCGAAGGGGUAGAGGAAGACCUAGGAAAACUUUGGAAGAGACUCUAAGAAAAGACUUAGAGUACUUGGAUCUAACGAAAGACAUGACACAGGACCGAGCACAAUGGUGCUCUAAGAUUCAUAUAGCCGAUCCCAUUCAGUGACUUGGAUUUCCCAAGUCCCCAAUCGAGAAGUUUUCCUCCACUCACAAAGUUUCAACAAUAGAAAAUUCAAAGAACUUAGCGAAGAAGGCUUUAGUGUAUUUAACACAAUACGUCGAAAUGAAGGAAAGCUUAUUUAUUGAUAUCUCCGAUAAGCUACAAAUACGUACAUAUACAUAAGUCAAAAUAAACAAACAAGAGGGAGCCUUCACAAAGGUUGCUUAGGAGAAGUCUCAGCAGUCGGUAGAGCCCCAGAAAGAGAAGGCACCGGAGGGGGAUCAUUCGGAGCCUCAGUACUGGACAGAACCCUAGAAGGAGGAGGCAUCAGAGGUUGAUCAUUUGGAGCUUCAUUACGCGGUACAGCCCCAGAAGACGAAGGCAAUAAAUGCCUUUGGAACAAACCCACAAAUCUCUGAUGAUCAAGUAAAACCUGACCAUCAGAUUCCUUCAUCUGGUCAAGCUUCCUCUUCAUGUUUGUAGCAUAGUCAUGUGCGAGCCGGUGCAACUGUUUAUUCUCAUGCUUGAGCCCUCUAAUCUCCUGUUUGAGACUCAUCACUUCAGCCGCCAAUGAUUCAACUUGGCGGGUUCGAGCAAAUAGGCGCUGGGCCAUAUUAGACACAGAACCUGCACACUGAACACUAAGAGCCAGAGAAUCCUUAACAGCUAACUCAUCAGACCGUUUGGAAAGUAGUCUGUUAUCUUUGGGAGUGAGAAGGUUCCUGGCCACCACUGCAGCGGUCAUAUCAUUUUUCAUCACGGAAUCCCCAACGGUAAGAGGACCAGUAGGGGAGACGAAGGAUGGGUGCCAUAUGUUGUCUGGAGAAGGUGGGGCUGCCUCUUCAACAGGGUUCAAGUCAAAACGACGGUCGGAGGGGAUUCAAGUGUGCUUUGGAACUUAAUGCCAGCCCCUAUAAAAACCUGCACUCUACGGAGCUUCAGAAAUCGAAGAUGCGCCUGCUCAGAAAUCGAAGAGGCGUUUGCUUUCUCAAAAGCUAGGCUGCUCAGAGACCACGAGGGUCGAUCUCAGAAAUCGAAGAGGCGUUUGCUUUCUCAAAAGUUGGGCUGCUUAAAGACUACGAAGGCCGAUCUCAGAAAUCGAAAGGCGCUUGCUUUCUCAAAAGAUGGGAUGCUGACCACGAGGGCCAAUCUUAGCAAUCGAAGGGGCACCUACUUUUCCAGCCUUGUCAACAUCUGUCACACGCACACUCAGCUAUGCGGAAAUUGUGGGCAUUCUGUCGAAGACUUCUGGUGAAGUAGACAGCAACAGUAGCUCAUGGGUACCAUAGAUAACUUUGCCAAAGUUCUCUGCCAAAGUUGAGCACGUGAAGCUUGCAGCUCCCACUACAUCGCUCUGAUCAAGAAGGGUAAAAGAAUAGCAAAGAAACAGCACUAACAAAGUUUAGACACAUAAAUUUUAAAGGUCUAGCUACCAUAUUAUUACCCAUAAGGGUAAAGGAACAGUACCACAGCUGGAUAAUUAGAAAGUCCCUGUGUGUCAACCUCUGUGCUUCGUGGCACGGUAGACUAGCAAACAUGCCUAACCUUUACUCACAUUCGAGAAAACACUCCCAACAAGAUUGCUUGCUCCAAAAUCAAAGAUGCACCGUCCUCCGAAUCUCGAGAGCCAGACUCCCAACAUGACUACUUUCUCAAAAAUCGAAGAGAGGGUAAAGGAACAGUACCAUUGCUGGAUAAUUGGAAAGUCCCUGUGUGUUAACCUCUGUGCUUCGUGGCAAGGUAGACUAGCAAACAUACCCAACCUUUACUCACAUUCGAGAAAACACUCCCAACAAGAUUGCUUGCUCCAAAAUCGAAGAGGCACUGCCUUCCGCAUCUCGAGAGCCAGACUCCCAACAUGAUUACUUUCUCAAACAUCGAAGAGACACCGCUCUCCGAAUCUCGAGAGCCAGAUCCCCAUCAGGAUUGCUUUCUCAAAAAUCGAAGAGGCAUCGUCUCCAAAUCUCGAGAGCCAGAUCCCCGAUAGGAUUGCUUGUUCGAAAACCGAAGAGGCAGCACUUCCCCAACUUCAAGAGCCGGAUCUCCUUGGAUAAAGCUGUCUGUAAUCGUCACACGCAACAUCAGCUUUCCAGAUACCACAGACCACUUUUUCAAAGUGCUCUGACAGAGUUAAAACAUGUGAAGCUGGCAGCUCCCACUACCGUGCUAUGACCAAGCAAGGUAAAGGAAUAGCAUUACUACUUGCUGUUAAGGAGACUCCUAUAUAUGUCGACCUCCAUUCCCAACGGACAGACAGAUCUGCAAAAAUGCUCAACCCUUCUUCAUAUCUGAAAGGGCACUCCCAACGAAGCCUUUCGAAAUAUUCAGCUUUCUUUCUCCCCGAUAUCAUGCUUUUUCCCUGUCUUUUCCUUUGGCCUUGUUCUUACCUGCAAGACAAGGAGAAAGAGAGCAAUCAGUCAGCACUUGGAAUCAAGCUUCCAGCCAGGAACUGACUGCCUGGAACUUACUUGGCAUUGCUCUCGAGUACUCAUCUUCAACAUCUUAUGCUUCCAGGGAAGAUACGCAUCUGCCUGAGGAACAAAUAAGGCAAGUGAGAAGGAUACAAAAAAGCAGGUAGAGACAAGCGUAACAGCACACGUGCCGAUACAUCCAUUACUCUGUCAAAGCAAAAGUAUCCCAUAUCAGCAGGGUCGAACGUACUCUAGAUUUGAUGGACUUGUUUUGACCCUCAAAUUCUUCAGUCGGCCUUAUACUUUGGAGGAAACCAGAAAACCCUCCAGCCCAGUUCAAGAAUAAGCCUGUGGAAAGUUACUUCUUCAAAAGCAAAAGUAUCCCAUAUCAUAUCUUCUCAUUUUUCUUCUCUUUAUCCUUCAUGCUGCCUGCAAGAUAGGGAGAAUGUGAACAAUCAGCCGGAGCUCUGAUUGCUUACCUUGUCUGUCACCUCUUUCAGCAGAUCCCCUAGCUCGGCGACUUGGGGGGCUCCUACUACAUGGUUUGUAUCACGCUUGACCAAGUUUAAAACUAAAAGUAAGCUUCAAGUGAAAUUGAUACAUUACCUUGUGCAUCUCCACCAGUUAAAGAUACCACCCCUGGAUGGAGGAAGAGUACUUCCAGAGAAGAUGCCACAUCUACCUAUGAGACAGAUAAGGCAAGUCAAGACGAUACCACACUCCGAUACUUAGAAGUUUCGUGAUUACGAGAUCAUUCUCCCACAAUAUUUCCUAAUGUCAUUUGUACUAAAUCAUUCACCUGUACUCACUAAAGGAGAGCUUGAAUCUAUGUACUUGUGUAAACCCUUCACAAUUAAUGAGAACUCCUCUAUUUCGUGGAUGUAGCCAAUCUGGGUGAACCACGUACAUCUUGUGUUUGCUUUCCUAUCUCUAUCUAUUUAUAUACUUAUCCACACUAAUGACCAGAGCAAUCUAGUGAAGAUCACGAAAAGCGACCGUUUUCGCUACCUAGGAUCUAUCGUGCAAGAGAACAGAGAAUUAGAUGGAGAUCUCAACCAUAGAAUACAAGCUGGAUGGAUGAAGUGUAAGAGUGCAUCCGGCGUGUUGUGUGACCGUCGUAGGCCACUGAAGCUCAAGGGAAAAUUUUAUAGGACGGCAAUAAGGCUAUGUGACUACGAGACAGAGGUUUAGGGCCGAAGGGGUAGAGGAAGACCUAGGAAAACUUUGGAAGAGACUCUAAGAAAAGACUUAGAGUACUUGGAUCUAACGGAGGACAGGACACAAAACCGAGCGCAAUGGCGUUCUAGGAUUCAUAUAGCCGACCCCACUUAGUGGGAAAAGGCUUUGUUGUUGUUGUUGUUGUAAGGUUUCAUAGCAGGUUUACGAAGCAUAGAAGGGAAACUGCAGUAAACAGAAAACAAAACAGACUUGAGAGGAAUUAGUUUUGACUGCAGAUCAGUUUCAGCGUGAGGGAAUGAGAAGGAAUAGUAGUUGGAUUGCUCUUACCUUUGUUUCACACUCCUCAGAGUUUUCUUUCAGUCUGAAUGAAUGUAGCAUUUUCAUUUUAGCUUUUGAUAAGUUCAUAACAAUGGUAAGUCAUCCAUCAGCAAUAUCCAACUUCAUCUCAGCCUGAACACGGAGAUCCUACACAAGAUCCAUGAGACUAGGAAUGCAUUUUGCUUACCUAAAAUGAACAUAAUAAGAAAGUUCAGAUACGUACCCAUUCCAGAAUGCAGGACAAUGCAUAUAUGAGCUGCAUUUAUCACUUUGUUACAUACAUGCACUAAUUGAACCAAUAGAAUGCAAACUGGAACUGAUAGACAUAGCAUUAUCAGCGACAAUAAUCCUUUCCUAACAAUCAGUCAAACAUGCACAAUAUGCAGGUCGCUAGUCAGUAAUUCCAAAAGAUCUGAUUCCCCCGGUAUGUUUUUUUCAAAUAUACUGAAAUUAACUUCCUAUAAGUCCAUUCCCUUUGCCUCUGGAACUCCAAAAAUGCCUCUGAGCUUGCAUGAAAGUCUCCUUUUCCCAAAACUUCAAACACAAAUGGAUCCGUUAAUACCAAUGGGGAAUCAUCCAGAUUCAUUUUAUUGAGGGAAAAAUACAAAUUCCGUCCUAGUCUUCUAUCCAAGUAUGCAACAACAACACAGCCGCAAUGUUGAAUGGUAAUCUUGCUUCUAGAAAAGUGGCCGGUGCAUGCAUUGAAAAUGCUAGACAAUUGUAGCAUGAGAAUGGCAUGUGUUCAUUGUGUCCAUAAGCAAAGUCCAUGGUGGUGGGCUACUUUAGUAGAGUCAUGAAUAAUGGCUAGGAUGAUUUCACACUUGGUAUUCACACUUGGUAUGGUUGGUUAUACUUGCCUAUAAAUAGAGUAUGUUGUUAUGUUUAAGUAUUGAAGUAAGAAAAGAGAAAGAAGAAGAAGUAAGAGAGACAAGAAGGCUCUCUCCCUAAAAAAAGGGAAUUAGUAGAAGAAGCAUCCAUAGCUUCUAAGAGUGUUUGAGUGAUUCCUCUUGUAUUAGUUUGUGAGAAUAAAAGUUUUUUUGGUGUUAUACCUUGAGUGUUCUUUUUCUCUUGCCUAUCAAUUUCCGCUGCGUUACAUUCUUCUUUGGAGAUAAACAUCUCCAAAGUAGUGAAGUCUCUUUAAACCCCAACACGCAAGUCACAAGAUCAGGAACAACUUUCUCAUGUGUCAUGUGUUCAAGGCUAAGAUGGAGAGCCCACAGUAGAGACAUCUUUGAAAAGGCCAGAGCACGGAUAUUAAAUGUAGUAAGAUCGGGGCGGAAACCAGCUUCCACCAUUCUCAAAAAUUCUCUUUGUAAGCUUUUCAUCUUAAAAUUCGCAGCAUAUGAUAACAACAAAAGGUUCCACAGAAGAUUUCCCAAGUUUCUUCUACCUAGACCUUGUUGGUAUUGAAAAGUUUACUAACUCAAUACCAAAAUAUGUGGGUGAUAAGUUUACAAACUCUAUCACACCUCUCACUUUGCACUCUCAAUAAAAUUGGACAAAGAAAUAGAGAAAUGAGGGAAGCUACAAGCUUUGGCAAACAAUGCACUUUGAUGUAUUUAAAAGAGUUUACAAACACACUUCUGAAAAUGGAAUAACAAAUCAGAUUCAUGUUUCUAAAACCUUACGGGCUGCUUAUUUAUACAAGCAGAAAAUGAAGACCACUCAAGUGCUUUUAAUAAACUAAACCAACAACACACACAAACAGCUCAUAUGAACUUUGGACAGUCUAACACACAUAUGCAGCUAUCUUUCCAGCUUGCAAUCAACAUAGUUUCGGCUAGCACACCACAUGGCAGCACACAGCUGCUGUCUUUCAACACACUUUCAGCUGGCACAUGGAGAAAACUUUAGUCUUUGCAGUUGCAGCAAGUGUGAAUACAACCUGUAAAGAAACUAACAGCUAGGAGCUGCCAUUUACAACCUGUUUUGAUUUGAAUUUCCAACACACCUCCUCAAAUCAAAACGCCUUCAUUCCUAGCAUUUCACGUAGCAGCCGGAAUGAUUCAACUGGUAGUGGCUUAAAGAAGAUGUCUGCCACUUGUUCCUUCGUGUGACAAUAGACAAGUUCGAUUGUCUUUUGCUUUACAUGGUCCCUUAGAAAAUGGAACCUGGUAUCAAUGUGCUUGCUCCUUCCAUGUUGAACAGGAUUCUUUGCAAGCUUGAUUGCAGACAUGUUAUCCACAUGAAUCACAGUCGAUUCCACUUGUGGAUGACACACUGACUUCAAUAGAUUUCUUAACCAAAUUGCCUCACACACUGUUGAGGCUACAGCAACAUACUCGGCUUCACAUGAUGACGAAGCAAUAAUUGAUUGCUUCUUUGAAGUCCAUGAGAAAGUUGUUGAUCCUAGAAAAAACACAUAGCCAGUUGUGCUUUUCCUUUCAUCUUGGUCACCUCCCCAGUCACUAUCUGAAUAACCAAAUAAUUUUGCAUCUUCACCAAAAUUAUAAAACAGACCAUAGUUUAGAGUACCUCUUAUGUACCUCAAGAUUCUCUUGACAGCCAGCCAAUGAGACUCCCUUGGUGUUUCCAUGUACCGACUCACGAGUCCAACUCCAAUGGACCACAUAUAUCCUUGUGUACCAUCUACAGUGGUGCCUUUGCUCUCCAUGUAUCACCAACAGGGAAUGAUAGUCGUGCUUGCUUGCCAAGCACACAACCUUCACAUACUUGGCGUGUGGCUUCAAUCUGGGGUAGACCACGAACCAUUCCUCCAUUUGACAGCAACUUUAGGCCAUUGAAAUGAAGAUGGCCAUAUCGAAGAUGCCAUUUCCAUGACUCAUCUUCCAUUACACCAAUGUUGCAACUCCCAAUCUUUGUGUUCAACUUCAACGGGAACAUUCGGUUUUUUGACAUUUGAACACGUGCAAUAAGCUUUCUCCUUGCAUUCCUGAGAAUGAGAAACAUAUCCUCCAUAUGUAUAACAUACCCUUUCUGGAGCAGUUGACCAAUGCUCAGAAUGUUGCUCUUCAUACCUGGUAUGUAGUAGGUAUCGGAGAUGUAUUCUUCUUUACCAUCCUUCUGGAUGAUUUUGAUCUUUCCUUUGCCUUCAACUGGCAACUUUGAGGAGUCACCAAAACUCACAGAUCCAUAAGGCCCAUCUUUGAGUUCGGCAAAAAACUCUUUCUUUCCACACAUGUGGUUGCUUGCACCAGAGUCUAAAUACCAAACAUCUUGUUGGCUACUGAUAUCAUGGUGUGCUAGUAAGACUGUAAGUUCCUCACCAGCAUUUCCAUUUGAUUCUGCCAUGUUGACAUGCUCACCAUUUUUAUAUGAACAUUCAUUUGCAUAAUGUCCAUAUUGCUUGCAAGUGUGACAUUGGAUAUGCGCCUUUCCUCGGGUAGAUCUCCACUCUUAAGAUUGACCUCGAUUUUGUUCAUAGCCUCGACCUCUUCCUCGGGCUCAUCCUCGGUUACGGUUGGAUGAACUCCCACGACGUGAGUGCCCACAACCUUUAUUUGGUUUGUCAAUAUUCAACUUUGACUCCAAAGCUUGCUCUAGCGUUGUGGGGCUUGCAUUCUUCUGAAUGCGUUGCUCGUGAACUAGGAGGGAUCCUAGUAGCUCCUCUGCGCUCAUCGCCUCCAAAUCCUUGGAUUCCUCCAUGGCAGUCACCACAUGCUCAAACUUAGAUGUGAGUGACCGGAGUAUCUUCUCCACAACUCGUACUUCAUCGAGUCUCUCCCCAUUUCUCCUCAUCUGAUUUACUAUCACAAUGAGCCUUGAGUGAUAGUCGGAGAUGCUCUCCCCUUCAUUCAUGUGAGCAGUUUCAAAAUCUGCUCGAAGUGACUGUAAUCUCACUUUCUUGACUCGAUCUACUCCUUUGUAGAUUGUACUGAGUGUGUCUCAUACUUGCUUGCUCGUUGUUGCUUCUGCAACCUUCUCGAACGUUGAAUCUUCUAAUCCUUGAUAGAGAAGAUACAACGCCUUCUGGUCCUUCUUUCGUAAAUCCCUGAGAGUGUUCCUUUGAUCUGCAGUAUAUGUGGCUUCUUGCUCGGUAGUAGGUACAACAUACCCACUACUGACAACUUCCCAUAGCUCUUGUGAUCCAAACAAUGCUUUGAAUUGGAUGCACCAUCUUUCAUAAUUUUCUUUCUUCAAUGUGGGAACUUGGAGUUGCACUAAGUUGGAUGCCAUAACUGCUGCACCUACCAGAAUGGUAUUCUGGCUCUGAUACCAAUUGUUGGUAUUGAAAACUUUACUAACUGAAUACCAAAAUAUGUGGGUGAUAAGUUUACAAACUCUAUCACACCUCUCACUUUACACUCUCAAUAAAAUUGGACAAAGAAAUAGAGAAAUGAGGGAAGCUACAAGCUUUGGCAAACAAUGCACUUUGAUGUAUUUAAAAGAGUUUACAAACACACUUCUGAAAAUGGAAUAACAAAUCAGAUACAUGUUUCUAAAACCUUACGGGCUGCUUAUUUAUACAAGCAGAAAAUGAAGACCACUCAAGUGCUUUUAAUAAACUAAACACAACAACACACACAAACAGCUCAUAUGAACUUUGGACAGUCUAGCACACAUAUGCAGCUAUCUUUCCAGCUUGCAAUCAACAUAGUUUCGGCUAGCACACCACAUGGUAGCACACAGCUGCUGUCUUUCAACACACUUUCAGCUGCCACAUGGAGAAAACUUUAGCCUUUGUAGUUGCAGCAAGUGUGAAUACAACCUGUAAAGAAACUAACAGCUAGCAGCUGCCAUUUACAACCUGUUUUGAUUUGAAUUUCCAACAGACCUACAACCUUCAAAAACUCAGCUAAUUCGUAAAACUUGUUACGUUUCAGAUACGCAAAUGACAUUGCCCGGAUUCCCUCUUCCUCUAUCAGAAACCUAGACCUUUUUAAGGCGGCCAUAAGCAGUCUCCAUCUCAGUAAGGGAACCAAAAAUACUAUAGUAUCUGAUAAAGGCAUUUCCAGUGGCAUAGUCCACCGGGAAACCCAUUGAAAUCAUUUCUUUCAAUGCACCUUCCAUCAAUUCAAGCUGGCCUCCCUUCCCAAAACAAGAGAUAGCUAGCGAGUAAACCUCCGAAAACAAACUCAAAUACCUAGCCCUCAUCUGGCCCAAAAUUUUAUUCACUUUUUCAAAACAUCUCGCAUUUCCAUAAACAUCAAAUAACUGCGAAACAACCUGAAUACUAGGCACAAAAGAAAUAUAUAACAUUUCGUUCCACACUGCUUCCGCUUGAGGAAAAAGGCCAUUGUUGGCAUGGAAUAGCAUCAAAGCAGAUAGGGUGGAGUUGCUGGGCAAAAGACCAUCCGAUUUCAUUUCGAGUAAAAGCUCCUGAGCUACAUGAGGCAACUUUUGUCUACUUAAACUCCGAAUUAUCCGCACGCAAUCUACAUAAGUAGCUUGGCCAUUAAAACACUCAUCCCGCUUCCAUUUUCAGAUUAUCGGUUGUAAGCACAGCCCAAAUAAAAGGAUAUCUCUUUGCACAAAAGUGACAGUAUUUUCUUCGGAUAAUCAAACACUAGAUCAAGAAAUUCAUAAAAUUCACAAACCUGCUAAAACAAAUUACGGGCACUUGUUGAAUCAAAAUUUGAUUAAAAAAUACAAGUCCCAAUUCUACAAAUACGGUAAAAUGUUCAUGAGAGAGAGAGAGAGAGAGAGAGAGAAAACGACCUUGCGUGCUAAGGCUCGAUUUUGUGAAUGGGAUUGAUGGCAGAAAAUAGAUUGGCGUUUUGGUGCCAAUGUGCAACCUUUGAUGAUUUCAGUUAAAACUAGCAAAGAAGUCCGCGCUCUGCUGCGGGUUUGAAACUGUAACCAAAAUUUAACACUCAUUUUUAAAUUAUUUAUAAAUAAAUAAAAGCAACUGAAUCCACAUGAUAUUCAAAUUUUGAGAUGUAUCAGAUAUCAAUUGUUGUCUGUGUCUUUGUGCUUCUCAAUGUAUCAGAUAUCAAUUGUUGUCUGUGUCUUUGUGCUUCUCAUUGUAAGUUCUUUUUGCUAAUUACUCUGAAUUUUUGUAGUUUGAAAUUUGCAAUGAUCAACAAACAUGGGAAAUGCCUAUGUGAUUUUCCAUGAACUAAUGAAUGGUUUGCAAUUAAUUUUACUGAUGCAUAUUCAUAAUUUGGAAUUAGGAAUAACAGUUAAACAGGGCCUUGAAUUACAUCAUCAACCAAUACUUUCUCCUUUUGCUUUCUGUGAAUUUUUUGGUUGCUUGCUGCAAAUGAAUGGAUUUGGAACUUUGAAUUAACAAAUUAAGCAAUUCAAGCAUAUUGCAUACACUUAAAAGGCUUAAGAGUAGAUAUAAGAUUAAUUAAUAUUAAAUCAAAAUAAAUAGAUGUAGCUAUGUAUAUUUUCAGCAAUUUCAGUCCUUCACUCCCAUCAUAGGACUUAAAUCACAUUUAAAAAUAAGAAGUACACAAAGAAAGUUGUACUUUUAGCUUCGUUUACAAAAAGCUCUGUAUACAACUAUGUAUUCCACAUGAAUUUGUGUAAAAGGACUUGCCUCGGGGAUGAAGUACUCUGUCUUCUUACACACACCUAUGCCAAAAUCUCUAUCAGGAAACUUUUCCAACCCUGUAGAAGCCAAUAUAUGAAGGAAAUCAUUCAAUGCAAUUGUAUUAACCUUAUUUUAAGGAUAUGAAAAUGAAUUUUUGUUCACUAAUAAUACAAUAUGUACAACCAUUACCCAAUUCAAAAUUCAUUUCAACUCCCAAAAUUACACAAAAUGUACUAAAAUUUCAAGCAAAGAGAACGAACCAAGAUUCACAAUUCAUUUCAAUUCCCAAACAUGCUCACAGAUUAAUGAACUCUCACUGAAACAACAAAGAACCAAUGAAAUUUUGUGUAACUUAAGAGGAAAAAUUCUUACCUUCAACUAAGUAGAUCCCUAAUUGUUCAGUUACUUUUUCGUACGUACUAUUAUUAUAGCUAGAUUAGCAGUCAUGUUCUCCUAGACCUCGGGUUUACAGAAAUCAUGGCCACCCACCGUUUGAUCUUAAUCCAACAGUAGUAAGGCCAAGUACUGAUGGCACAGUACAUUCUUUCUUCCAAAAUUUUUAGCCUGCUAGAGUGACUCGAAUAAGAGAAACCCUCCAAGUCUGAGAGUACCACAAAAUUAGCAUCAGGUUUUUCCAGCUUCCGUUUUAACGUCACUCUGCCACAGAAAGUAGCUAGUGAAUGGAGUUGAAGCGCACAAGCAACGUGUACUAGCAGCAAAACAGAAGGCCAACCCUAAACCCUACAAUAGGCGGGACUUGCAUUGGAAGCAACUGCGGCAGCAAGCCUCAAGAGGCAACAAUUUUGGCUGCUGACUAAGCAGUUGAGAUGUUUUCUUAGAUUAAGCUGCAACCAUCCGUAAAUGCAGGUUUCAAAUCCAACAAUGCUCAGUUCAUAUCUUAGUUGCUGUUUUAUUUAUGAUUUCUUUUGCUUUUCUCUAAUUUUUAGUUAACCUAGCUUGUUUCAACAAGAUUUAGAACGGUCUUCUAUUUGUUUUAAUUUGUUUAAAUUUUCGUGAAGGCUAGUUACUAGAUGGCCACCUCUUUAACAUAUAUAUAGUCGUUUGUAUAUGUAUAUAGGAAAAAUUAGUAUCCGGUCCCUAGUUUUUACUGUUCAUUGACUAAGACCUUAUUAGUUCUCAAAUUUUGAUUCAAGUCCCUAUCAUUAAUGUGAUAAUGAAUUUACAUGUUUAUUAUAUAAUUUUUUAAUAUAAAAAUUAGUAAUUAAUUUAGGAUUUAAUACUCACACCUCUAUUAAACUUCUAAUUAAUUUUCAAUUCAAAAAUUUCCAAAAUAAUAAAAAAUUAAAUUAAAUUAAGUUUGUACCUAUUACUUUAUAUAUAUAUAUAUAAGAUUCUCAAUUUUUUAAUCUUAAAUGUACCCAUUCAUAUAAUUUUUCAAUUUUUUUAAUCUUAAAUGUACCCAUUCUCAAAUAUAUCAAUUUGUUAUAUGUAAAAUGUACCCUUUUUUUAAUAUAAAAUCCAUUCAAAUUUUUUAAUCCAUGUUUAAACUUAUAUGGGUACAUUCUUUUUCGUUGAUUUUGAGAAUGCAUCCAUGUUUUGGUACAAUAACUUUUUUUGUUAAUUUUGGUUAAUGUACCCAUACAUAUAUGUAUACACACACACACACAAUAUAAUAGAGAGUAUAAUUUAUAUUUUAUUAUUUUUAAUCCCAUAAAAUAUGGGUUUUUAUUUAAAAUCUCAUUAAUAUAAACAAUUACAAACUUCAAUUUUUAAUUUUUAAUUUAAAAAAUAUAGUAACUUACAUUAUUACAUUAAUGUCAGGGACCUCAAUCAAAAACUAAAAACUAACAAUGUUUCAAUCAAAUAAUAUUGAUAGCUAAGGACCGUAUCCAAAGUGUCCCGUGUAUAUAUAUGUACAUCUAUAUAUGUGUGUGUGUGUGUGUGUGCACAUUGUUACGAUUCGCUAACUUUUCUUUUGGAGACAAACAACUCAGACUCGUCUAGAUUUUUUGGGGGCAAGUAAAUUUUGCUAAUUUAGGAAUAACAAGUAGAUGGAAGUUACAACUACAUGCUCCAAUGCAACAAAGGAGUAUUUGGGGAGGCAUAAAGACAAGAUGGUUAGGGAAUUUGGUUAUACUAUCGUUCCCUCCACACAUUCUUAUCUCCCUAGCUCUAGAAUAUUUAAGAGAGAGAGAGAGGGAGAGAGUUGAUGAGAAUAUAGCACAACUUCAGUGCCAAGGAGAGCGUAUGACGGUGGUUCUCCGUCGGGGAUUUGUUUCGUUCAGAGCCAGAGACAUUUCUACGUACGCAUGCAGGUUAGAGUUUGAUGAGAGUUGAAUUAAUUCACAGAAUGUGAGAAAUGGGUAGAGGUCAAACACAAAGGAAGGCGGGGGAGGUGGUGGCUGUAGCAAUAGACAAUGACAAGGGCAGCCAACAUGCUCUCAAAUGGACUAUUGAUAGUCUUGUCACCAGAGGUCAAGCUCUCACGCUGCUCCAUGUCAGGUCGGCCGAGUCCUACUGCAAAAAGGAUUGAUCUAGAUAAUAGCGAAUGGGCUAAUUCUUAGUAUGAUAAGGAGUCUUAUUGGAAUAAGGAUGUCGGGAUUUGAGUAGUGAAUGUGGCAGGGCAAAGAGCUUGGUUUAGGGUUCUAGUGGAGGUAGGAUUGGCUGAGACUUGGUUAGAUUAGGAUAAAGAAUCCUAAUCCGAGUAUAGUCUUGGUUCGGUCAUGAUGAGAUUGGCUACUAUAAAUAAGAAGGGGGUGCAUCAUUCGAGCUCCUCCAACUCAACACACAAUUGCCCUGCUCAAGCUCUCGCUAUAUGCGAAACCUCUCAACAACCUUGAGAUUCUUUUUAUUUUUCGUUGACACAUCUUCAGUUUAGAUAAACAGCAUUGUUGCCGUAUAAUCAACCGACCGGGAAGCACCUUCAAUUUGGAUAAACAGCAUUGCGACGAGGCCGACUGGUUAUCUAUCCAAGUCUCAGUCGAGAAGGAUUUUCGAGUCAUUAUUGGCAGAGAUCAUCUCAUUAGCCUUCUCGGCGAAGUGAGAUGCUAUAGGUUACUACAUUCGGCACGUUGAAAGCCGAAUUUGAUAUUGAACUUCGUAGAACUAGCAGUCUUAUCUUCAGGCUCUAGAACCCGAAGGUUGAGACGUGUUCCUUCCUCGACCGCAAUCGCAAGAUCAGGAAAUCAACAGUGCACUCAACGCAACAUCAACUCAUUUUACUCACCGGCCGAGCUCGGCCGUCGAGUUAGUAUGCCUCGCACACAACUGAAUGACGUAAUUAGCUUAUUAAUUACUCGGGCUGCGCGCCACGUAAGCUUGGUAGUUUUUAGGGUUAACAGUUAUUCAUAACAACACUGGCAAGUGGCACGACAAAACUUUAACUUGCUGUCAAGGUGGUUAUAUUAUAAAUCUUUUUGGUUUUUAAAAUUAAAUAUUACAUUAAAUAAUUUAAAUAUAUAUUUUGGUUUGUAACCGAUCCUUUCAUGUUCAGGUCGGUUUUUUUAUUUGGAAAACUAACCAAAAACCCCUGAAAAGUUUCCUUUUAAUCAUAAGGACAAAAGUUUUCAGAAAUACCAAGGCUACCCUUCACACAUCCGUACAAAAUUGGCCAAGCUUUUAGUCAAGUUCACAUGCUGGGGCUGACAUUUUCAGAAAAUAUUUGCAUACAAAAGCUAAGGUGGCAAACAUCACAGCAACCAAGACAACAUGAAUUCACAUGUCUUUCAGACAGCUUUCAGAAACAGUGCUGACAGCUUUCAGAAACAGUGUGUUGUCACUAUCCAAAAAGUUGUAAAUAUUGAAAAGUUAUUUUGUUUUGUUUAGGAAUCAACUUUUGUAUAUAAGGGAGCCUUUCCUCCCAUACAGAGGACACCUCUCUCAACACCUGAAAACAACAUAUUCACUUCAUACACUCAAGCAUUCAUAGCCUUCAUAGCAUCCUUGUAAACACUUCUUUGUAAUCACUUUCUUGUAAACAACGAUCUCUGUAAACAUUCCAUAUAUCAAUAAAAGAUCAAGUGUACAUAUUCAAGCAAUCUCUAAGUCUUAAGUAAGUUUUCUUUUCCUUCUUUAGUGUGUUUGUUUAAUUAGACUUCUAGUCCAAAACAGGGAAACACUAUUGUGGUUAUAUUAUUAACCUGCUAAACUGACGAUCAUACUUUAUUCAAGCACUCUGUUAUAGUUGAAUAUUUGCCAUACAAAUAACUGGACAUUAACCAGGGUACCUCUAAGUUCAGCCGUUAAGGCCUUAUACUUGUACUGUGAGUGGCCGUCAUGCUGAAACAUGUCGAGUUCCAUGUGCAAGGUUCUAUGUCUAGUUGUUAUAAUGGUCAUCCGACUAUUUAACCGAGCAUGCGUUUUGAAUUUGGUAUCAGAGCCUAGUUUAGCAUUUUAAUAGUAUAAUUAUAAUAGUAAAGUACCUUGAGGAUAGAAGUCAUUGAUACAACUGAUAUCAUAUUUGUUUAUUGUAUAUGAACAACAGAUAUUAUUGUCCCUGUAGACCCUGUCAACCACAAUUACUAGGUAUUUAUUGUCCCAGACAUCCAACCAUAACUAGCAUGAAGAGAAGAUUAGCAUACAUAUCCAAAAGAAUUAUUAGUACUUUGAAGAAGCAAAAGUUUUAUCUUGGGUAUCUUGAACAUCAUUCAUUUAUUCGUAAAUAUAAUAACACAGAAGUGCAGCAUAAAGUUUUGGAAGCAAAAAGAACAACAGAUCAAGUUUUAGAGACAUUGAGAGAAGAAAGAGAGUUUUUAAGAAACCAGUUAGCCGUAACCUUAGAGAAAGGUAGACUGUAGUUUAUGAUAGAUUAUCUUAAUUUAGAAAUUAGUGAACCUCAAAAAAGAAAAAUAACUUUAGACCAAAAUAGUUUAGUUUGUUAUUUUCCAUCAAGAAAGCAUAAUCAUAUUUUGCACAGUGAAGAAAAUUCACAAGCUAAUACCAUUGUAGAUCUUAUUAUUAGUCAGGCAGAUAAUAUAAAAUUAGAAAAUAAUAAGCAUAAUCAUUUGUUAAACCAGUUGUUAGAACAUUUUUAGAAAAAUUCCAUAAAAAUAAUUAGACAAAAUUUAAACUAUAUUACAUCUCAGUUAGAAGAUAAUAAUAGAAAUAUUCAAAGGUUUCCUAUCAAAAGAGAUAUAAAAGAGCUUGUUGAUCUUAUAGAUAGUAAGCCGAAGCAAGUAGAACUUAGAUCAUUAGAAAUAGUUGAACAGCUAAAAUUAGAAGUUCAAAAAAUUCAAUUAGUACAAAAAGAGUUAAGUGAACAAGUAGAUAAAUUGCAUAAUAAAAUAGAUAAAUUAUUAGUUUAAUGACAGAUUCUAGAACUAGCAGAAAAUAUAUUCAAGCUUUGAAAGAAAUUAGUAAAUUAGAUAAAGAACCAGUAGGAUUAACAGAUUUUUCAACACAAGUAUCUAGUAGUAAUAUUCCCAUUAGGCAAAAUAAUUUGAUUAUCCAAUUAGUUUUAAGUUUAGCUGAAAAAUUAGAUCAAGUUGAAGAACAAAUAGCAGAAAUAAACCAAGUUUUACAUAACGCAUCUUCAUCACUUCCACCAUCCUUGCUAGAUAAAUUAGAAAAUUUAACUUUGAGUGCAAGUAAUAAUAGAAGACCUAAGCUAAAUCCUUUUGAUAAUAGAAAAUGGCACUCUUUAGGAAAAAAGGAAAAAAAGUAGUUAGAGCGGAAGAUAUUUAUCCAAAUGAAGAAUAAGCACAAGAAUUUAUUCGAAGAGGUUAUGAGAGAACACAGAAAAAUAAAUAUAACUUGUAUCAAUUAGGUUUAUUUGAAAACAGAAAUAGAAUUGUAAGCAGCAUCAGUCAACAUGAAGUUAAUUGUAUUGAUAAAGAAGUCACACUUAAUCUAAUUAGUAAAGAAGCAGUUACUCAUUUGAGAAGUCACAUUUUAGUCAAAUUCACAUAGGAACAAUAUUAAUUGGAAUAGCAGGAUUAACCAGAGCACAAGUAGGUAUAAAAGCUUUAGUAUACAUAUAUGAUGAUAGAUGGGAUAAUCACCAACAAGCAUCAAUAGCAACAACUAAAGUAGACUUAAGUUCAAACUUAGCAGUUAUAUGUUGUAUUCCAAAUUAUGUUAUGACGAUUAAUGAAUUUAGUAAAUAUAUUAAAGUGAGCAUAAAAACAAAAAAUUAUAAUAUCAAAGGAGAGUAUAAAAAUUUGUGUAUUAGCUUAAUGUAUAUAGGUAAAGUGUCUGAUAAAUAUAAUCAUAAGUUUAAUUUAGAGUUUCAAAUUUUAGUUCAAACAUUUGGCAGUAAACAUGUAAAUAUGAUAGAAGCAAAACCCGUAGAUAAUAGCUUUUUAAAAGGAACUCAGUGGACAUUGCCUAAUUUACAAGUAGCACCAAAUAGACAACCAGAUAAAGUACAAAUAUAUGAAACUAGUACAGGUCAAGCAACAAUUAGGUUUAGUAAUUAUAAGCAACUAGAAAAAAUAGAAGAGGAUGAGAGUGAAAUUGAAAAUGAGAGUAUACAUAUGACUUUUGAUAAUUUAGAUAUUAAUUUAGUUGAACAAAAUUUUGAUCAUAUUGUAGAUAAACUUAUCGAAGAUAUUAAUCAUUUAGAUGAAGAACAAUAUUUGAAAAAAUAUAAGACAUAUGAUUUAGGACUACAUAAAAUUUCAGACGAAGAAAUGAAAAUUUUAAUCUUAGAAAUAGGAGUAGAACACAUUUUAGGAUCAAAAGAAUAUAAUAAUUUAUUAGAAUUGAAAGCAGAAUGUAAUCUAGCAGAAGAAAGUAGUACAUCAGGAGUAGAAAAUCCAGGACACGCAAGCAAAACCGAUCAACAAUUUUUGAGACCAACAAAUGAACAAUAUAAUAAAAAAGCAAAAGUAGACUAUAUGGAAGAAAGUAUGAUAAAACCUAGAAAAAAUAGGAUUCCAUAUUUGAGAGGGUUAGAACAAAUUAAUAUAGCUGGUAAUAUAUUAAAUUUAGAUAAUGUAGAUCCACAAGAUUGGGAAAGAACGAUUGAGAGAUGGGAAAAAGGCUGCUUACAUGCAGCAUUAAUGUUAGAUUUUAGUAAUUCACAAAAUAUGUUAGAUUACUUUGAGCAUACUUUGGAUGGUUUAGUUUUUUAUUAUUUCCAAUCAUGGAAAGUUCAAAAUCCAGAACAGCAUCAGGCAGCUAAAACGCAUUUUAAUAUUGAUGGUUUUGUUACUUUGAUUAAACAAGAGUUUUUAGAUCAUAAUAGGUUAGAUGACAGAAGUGAACAAGAACAAAUAAGAGCAAUCAGAAAUUUAGAACAAUUACAAAUUUGCGAUUUACAGUAUAUAGCUGAGUAUACCACAUAUUUCUUUAAAUAUUUAGGAAGAACAGGUAGAAUUAGUGAUAUUAAUUUAUUAGAUACUUAUAUGACAAAAAUAAAAGGACUAAUAGGUGAAAAGAUUUGGAAUGAAUGGCAAAAUCAUCCGAAGAAAAAUGAUAUUGCUAUAGGACCUAGAAUCAGAAUCCAACAUGUCUAUGAUAUACUCAGACAAGAGUGUAGCCAAAUAAAAGCUAAGAGACAAAUUAGGAAACAAUUUUACAUGUGUUGUAAAAAUAUAGAUUUACCACAACAGUAUGGUUGCCAUAAGAAAAUAUACAAAAAGAAAUAUAAGUCGUAUAAACCCUACAAACAACAUAAGAAUUUCAGCAUAAGACCUUCAAGAACAUAUAGGAAAAGAAAAUAUAUUCCAAAACAAUUUAGAAAAAGAAGUGGCAGACCUUGGAUUAGAAAAUAUAAAGCACCGAAAGAUAAGAGUAAUUGUAAAUAUUAUUCAUGUGGAGAAGCUGGACAUAUUAGACUUAAAUGUCCAAAAUUAGGUAAACAGUCGAAAGAAAAAAGUACAUUUGAUGGAGUUGUUUAAGUUAGAAGAAGAUGAGGAUAUUCAGUCAAUAUACAGUUUAGAUAAUUUAAGUGAUAAUGAGAGUAUUUAUAGUAUAGAGAGUAUUAACAUGAUAGAUUCAGACUCAGAAGAUUCAAGUAACAUAAAUAGUGAUCUAGAAGAGUAUAUGUGUGCAUUCAUAGAUGAACAGCAUGAAGAAGAAUAUAAAUAAAUCAAUUUAGGUUAGCCAGAAAAAUGUCAUAAGUGUAGUAAAUUAGUUGCAAAUAAAUACUACAAUACAUACUCAAUAUUAUGUGUGAAAAAUGUUACAGUAAUAGGUUAUUAGAAGUUAAUUCAGCAGAAUCACAAGAAAAUACUGAAAUAUUAGGAAACAUUGUUUAUAGUAUAGAAAAACCAAAAAAUAGUUCUUUAAUUACCAUAUAUUGUGAAAUAGAAUUAGCAAAAGAACAUAAGAUACAAACGAUAGCUAUGAUAGAUACAGGGAGUACAAAAAGUGUCAUAAAAGAAGAAUUAGUACCAGAAAAAUAUAGACAAAAAUUAGCAAAACCAGUAAGAAUAACACAAUUUGAUGAGAGACCAGUUUACUUAACACAUUGUAUAAAUAAUGAGUUUAUUAAAGUAGAAAAACAACAAUUUAAUUUACCAUUAACAUUUGUUUCACCAGUAGAAUCAUAUCCAUUUAUUUUAGGUUUAAACUUUUUGAAAAGCUUGCAAGGUUUUUUUUAUUUAUGAACCCUAACAUAACAUUUUUCAAAAGAGGCAUUACAAUAACUGACCAAAGUAAUACUGUAGAAGCAUACAAAAACAUAAGUAUAGAAGAGCCUAGUGACCAAGAUAGUUAUCAUUUAGAAAACUCAAAAUAAAAUGAUGAGCAUAAUAACGUAGAAGAGUUUGAUGAAGACAUUUUUGAACAUGAAUACCCGAUUUUAGAAUAAGGAACCUGUAUAGAAAUAUUACAGUUAGAUAGACCAAAGAGUUUAGAAGAAUUGUUACAAUUAGCAGAACAAACUAGGAUUAUAGGAGAAGACCCACAAUUACAUUGGAGUAAAAUACUAGCAAAAUUAGAUAUAAUUAACCCAGAUUUAACCAUUAAGACGGCUGAUAUGCCUUGUAGUCUAAUAGAUAAACAAGAGUUUGAGCAGCAAAUAAAAGAGUUGUUAAAUUUAAAAGUAAUUAGACCCUCUAAGUCCAGACAUAGAUCAGCAGCAUUUAUUGUAAGAAAACAUUCAGAACUAAAGAGAGGUAAGGCUAUAAUAGUUUAUAAUUACAAGAGAUUAAAUGAUAAUACAUACGAAGAUAGUUAUAAAUUACCAAAUAAGGAUGAGCUUAUAAAUAAAAUUCAAGAGAGUAAAUAUUUUAGCAAAUUUGAUUGUAAGUCAUGUUUUUGGCAAAUAAGAUUAGCAGAAGAAUCAAUUGAGUGGACAACUUUUAGUUGUCCAGAAGGACAUUUUGAGUGGCUCGUUAUGCCAUUUGGACUUAAAAAUGCUCCAUCAAUCUUUCAAAGAAAGAUGGACCAAAUUUUCAAGAAAUAUGAUAAUUUUUGUAGUAUUUAUGUAGAUGAUAUUUUAGUACAUAGUAAAAAUACAAAUGAACAUAGGAAGCAUUUAGAGAUAGAUUACAAGAAUUUAUCAAUAAUGGAAUUGUAAUUAGCAAAAAUAAAAUAGCAUUAGAAAAGCAAGAUAUAGAAUUUUUAGGAAUGUAUAUUAAGUCAGGUACAAUGCAAUUACAAGAUCAUAUAGCUAAAAAGGUGUUAGAAUUUCGAGACAAAUAAGAAGAUAAGAAACAGUUACAAACAUUUUUAGGAUUACUAAAUUAUGCAAGAAAUUUUAUCCCUGAUUUAGGAAAAAAGAUAGCAGUAUUACAUAGUAAAACUAGCAAAACAGGACAAAAAUAUUUUAAUAGUGAAGAUAUUAAAUUAGUUCAAAAAAUAAAAGAAGAAAUUACUAAACUUAAGCCAUUAACAUUACCAUUAGAUGAUAGUUACAAGAUAGUCGAAACAGAUGCUUCAUCAUUAGGAUGGGCAGGUAUACUAUACCAGAAAAAGCAUAGGGAGUCUACAAAGUCUGACGAACAAGUUUGUAGAUAUUUCUCAGGAAAGUUUAGUGAUAUACAGUCAAGAUUACCAUCAACAGAUUUAGAAAUUCUAGGGAUAAUUAAUUCACUUGAAGCAUUUUCUUUAUUUUUACAUAAUGAAGUAUUUACGAUUAGAACAGAUUGUCAAAAUAUAGUUUCUCAUUAUAACAAGAUACAUGCUACUAAACAGGCAGCCCGAAAAUGGGUUAAUUUUGUUGAUUCAAUUACAGGAAAUGGUUUUAAACCAAUUUUUGAACAUAUAAAACGUAAUGACAAUACAUUAGCUGAUAUCUUAUCAAGAUUAAUUUGUUGAACAGGUAUGGAAUAUCGUGUACCAUCAUCAGCAAAUAGCACAAGGCUGCAAGGUAGAAGAAUUUCUUUCAAUGGCAUGAUGAUGCACCAUCAACCUCCACCAUUCAGUGGAUUUCAAAAUAGCAUGAGCAGACCAGCAUCACCACCAGUACCUACGUUAAACUUUAAUGGCAAUAUUGUUGAAGGAAUCAGAAAUACAACUCUGAGAUAUAGGUCAAGGGUACCAGGGCUUUCUGAUAGGCAGCAGGUUCUCUUAGAUACUUUUUGGAAUAUCCAAAUUAAGCAGCCAAGCAUGAGAUUAGGUCAUGAAAAAUUAAUUAGAGCCUUGGUGCAAGAGUUUGAUAGCUUUAAUUUUAAUUUCCACCAAAACCAGCAGCAUAUUCAUUCUCUUGAGCACAACCUUCAAGCCAUUUCUAGGGACCAUGAGUCAUUACUUGGUAAGUUUACCAAAAUGAAUCAAGAACUCCAAUCUCUUAGGAUGCAGCAAAAGGCAAGUGACACCUUGAAAAGAGAAUUGAAAAUAGAUUUAGAAAUUGAUCAGCAUAAGAAUAAAGGAAAAGAGGUUAUUGAACCCAUAGGACAAUAGGCUAAUGACCCCAUAGAAGAAAUUAAGAUUGAGCUCUAGAAGAAGACGUUGAAAUGGAGCAACAUCAAAAUAAUGAACAGCAUCAGGUUCUGAGUGACAAAGAAAAACAAGAAAAAUAUGAAAGUUUUCUUAGGAAUAUAUCUUCAGACUUGAUAUUAGAUGAUGUUUUAUUAGAAGAAAUUUCAAAGGAAAAACUAAGAAUAAUGCCAACAGACAUGCAAAAUGAGAUCUUGAGCAGAGCAUCACAGUCCAUGAAAGAGUUACAAUUACAAUUACAAUUACAAUGGGCCUUGUAUCAGUCCAUCUUUAAUCCAAAACCAGGGAUGGAUAUUAUUACAAAGAUGUAUCCUCCAUGUCUUUGUGAUAGUACAGAGAAUUGUAUUUGUAAACCAGAUGUUAGCGUAGCUGUGGCUAGGAUUAACAUGAAAGAUUUUAAAUCAUGGCAUUUUAGUUAUGAGCAUCAGAAAAAGCAUAAUGUGAUAGAAGUUACCCCUACCUUACUAUUAGAGUUUGGUUAUCUCGAUAAAAUAUUUAUUAACCGUAUUUCUCAACUAGAAUUAUUUCCUGAAAAGCUUAUAAAAGUAGCAGAAGAUUAUCUAGAAAGGUGGAAAGAAAUUUGCAUAAGUUUUAUUAGUAGUCCUCCAGAUUGGUAUGUACAUAUGCAUAAGGAGAAAGCUAGGCAUAUAGCCAUGAUCAAUGAAGAGUCCUUUAGACUAAAUCCUAUCUCCUCACAUAGGUGGACUCCUUCAUACAAAGAUAUUUUAAAAUUUAGAGAGAUCCAAAUGCUUGCUUUGGAUAAGUUUGAAGAUUUUAGGUAUGACAUGGUACUAGUAGCAGAAGAAGAGGAGAUGUAUAUUUACAGUAAGACAAGAAUCAGUCAUCAGCCUUAUUGGAAGCCCCAAAAUUUCAAAGAAGAAACAACAGAAAUAUAUUACAAGGUGAAAGAAGAUAAAGAAAGAGAUGCAGAGCUAGUAGAAGACGAUGAACAGUAUUGGAAUAAUUUGUCAGAAGAAGAGCUGUAUAACAUUGACAACAUGAUAGAAGCCUGAAGAGCUAGCUGUAAAUUAGCAUAAGUUGAAUAUCAUCAUAAUGUAUUUCCAGACAGAAAUGUCAACAUCUUUGUGGUCCGCAUGUAAUGGCAUAAGAGUAAAUAAAGAGAAGAGUCUGAUCUAUUAUGGACAUUUUCAUACAUAAAAUGUCCUUAUGGUUAAGAAUGAAUAGUACAAAGCCCUUUUCAUUAAAACUCCUUUUUUUAUUUCUAUUUGGUUCUUUUUUUUUCGAGUUAAGUUUGAUGUCCCAUUCGAAUUAUUUGGUUUUUCAGUUUUUUUUUUUAACCCACCCCCCUUAAGCACACUUAAGUAGAUGGAGAAACGAUUGAUAUUUUAUUUUUGUAUAAUGUUAAGGAGAUCAAAAUAUUUAAACUAAAUGAUGUGGUUGUUAAUGAUUAUAUUAUUAUUUAAAUAUUGAUUAACGUGUUUAUUUUAUUAGUAACACAUCAUUUAAUUUUUCAAAUUUGAUUUAAAAUUUUGAUGUCUCUAUCAUUAUCCAUACUAAGGGCAUGACGGUCAAAUGACGUGGAAUAAGUUGGUGUAUUUGAGGGUAAUUUCAUUGUUUUGUCAAAAGCGUAACCCUAAAGGUGAAAUCUCCAAACUCGUGCAAUCUCUCUGAGUCUCUCUCGCACAGACGAAGCCAUGAUCCGGGUACCCAGAGACGACGCCAAGCGCGGAGGCGGAGGCGGAGGCAGAGGCAGAGGCAGAGGCAGGGCCAAUUCGCUCGCGCGAUCAGAAUCCGGGCGGGGGAAGAAUCCAGCCCAGCCAGCGGAGCUCCGAGGUGAGUUCCGGAUUUGUCUUGGUGUAUAUAUAUGCGUUUGGUUUCUAUUUUAGGGUUUGUAAAUUCUGCAUAUUAACCAAAAAUGUUGCAGCUUAAUUGGUGUUAAACCCAAAUAUAUGCGUUUGACGAAACAUAUCAAACAAAAAAUUGCUGUUUUUCGUCACCGUGCGAGAAUUACCCUUAAAUUAAUUACAUGCCUAGUUUUUUGUUUCGAUAGAACUCCCUUCUUAUAUUGAUAAUAUGUAUCUGUUUUUGGUGGGUGAUUUUGUUGAGUAGUAAUUUGUGCCCUGCUCCCUUAAUUUGACCUGUUAAUUAGCUGAGUAAAUAUAUCUAGUAUUAAUUAAUUUAUGUGCAACAAACAGAUGAGAAGAAAGAAACAAAAGCUGUCGAAAGCUCUAUGAGUAAACUCCAACUUGAUGAUGAUACUCCUACUUCAAAGAAGAAACGUUACCGCGAGUCUAAGAAAUGCCAUUCUCAGAAUGAGCAUUGUGCAGUUUGCCUUGUGGACGGCCACCACCAACAUCUGUGUCCCUACCGGGAAAGUGUCCCGUUGGGUGUAACUAAAGUUGGAGAGGGCUAUAUACUAAUGUGUAGGACUUGUGGUUUUGUGGGUAACGUCUGCCUUCAUGGCCGCUCUUAUGCUCGUCCCUAUAGGCGGUGUUAUUGGCGUCUGAAACAUGGGUACCCAAUCCACGAGGAAGUGGAGCAAAUCAGGGCAAGACAGAGAGAAAUGGCUGAAAUGUCCAGGGCACGAGUGGAGAGAGGUGAACCAUCCUUAUUGGAUGAUACCUCUUCCGAUUCCUCUUCUGAUACCUCUUCCGAUUCCUCUUCUGAUUCCUCUUCUGAGAUAUAAUCGUAAUGAAGCUUAGGGUUGGAACAUGCGGUGGCUGCAGCUGUUGGAUUGCCUUUUCUGUUCAUUCAUGGCGGAUAGAUACUACUUUGUUGGUUGUUUUCUCGUGUGUUUAAUUUCGUUCUUGGAAUAGCUAGUUGUGC
rnacentral:lncRNA from 1 species